rnacentral:lncRNA from 1 species
AAAAAGAAAGGUUUUUUCUUCCUUUUUUGCCAAUAAAAAGGAAAGGUUCUUCUUUCUCGGUGGAGGACAAAUUUGAGGGACAUAGGUGUCUUAUGUUAAAUUGGUUUUGUCUCAAUUUGUCUUUAUGAAAAUGCGGACUACCGGUUUAGGGAAGAGGUAUAAUUUGAGAGCUUGUGCUUCCCUGACAUUUGUAAAUUGAUAGGUAACAACCUAAAACCCUCAAUAUUUUCCAUCAAUGGCAACCGCCGACUCCGACUCCAACUCCUCCAACACCAACACCACAAGUGUGAGCAUGAAGCUACUGGUGGACUCAACUCGUGGCAAAGUUUUGUUUGCAGAAGCGAGCAAGGAUGUCGUUGAUUUUCUCUUCACUCUCCUGUCUCUUCCUGUAGGGACAGUGAUUAGGCUCCUCUCCAAAGACGGCAUGGUUGGUAGCUUGGGAAAGCUUUAUGAGAGUGUUGAAAAUCUCGAUGACACAUACUUGCAACCAAAUCUCAACAAGAACAUGUUGCUGGAACCAAAGGCAACAGUUGCUGGUGCCAAUAUCCUUCCUUUGCUGACCAACGACGUUGACUCGAAUGCUAAAAAAUUCUACAUGUGUUCAUAUUGCAGUAACCGCAGUAUUUCCAAUGUGCAUGGAACCCGUUGCCCAGAUUGCAAUCAUGGUCACAUGUCCAAUGAGGUGACUUAUGUUUCUCCAGCACCUACCGUGGCAAGACCCAGCGAGGGAGGGUAUGUCAAGGGAGUAGUGACAUACAUGGUCAUGGAUGACUUGGAGGUGAAGCCAAUGUCCACCAUUUCAAGCAUAGCUAUGCUGAACAAGUUCAAUGUGAAGGAGGUUGGUGCUCUUGAAGAGAAAGUGGUUAAUCUUGGCAUGGAAGAGGUUUUGAUUAUUCCUAACUUAUUUCCCAUUUUUCUACAUGCUUUUGACUUUUUAAUUUUAGGCCAACUUGCAAGUUGCAUCCCCAUUUUUAAGUUAUAGUAGAUUUUUUAAUUUUGAAGCUUAUUAUUUGACAUUGUAUGUUUUAUAUACAUAUUUUUCUGUUGUUAGGGUUUGAAGCUGCUGAAGGCAUCGUUGGAGACCAGUACAGUUCUUACAAAAGUGUUCCUGGGUAAUAAGAAGGCAUAAAACGUUUCUGCAUUAUGAACUCAUCAGUUUCCUACUUCUUUAUGAUGUCAUUUUGGAGCUUAGGUUAUUCGGGAUUUAAGGAUGUGUAAUAAUAAGUUUUUCUAAUGUCGGUUUGUUUGUUUUUAAAAAAAUGAUCUAUGUUUUCUUCUGUCUCUGUUUCAAUUAAGAAACUGUUUGCUUGAAUUUUAAUUAAUUUGCUAGCGCAUGCACGCCUAUACCCCAAGCUUCGAGAAAUGAUAUUCUGCAACAUUUAUUAGUAAAUGAUGGGAUGAAUCCAUGAAUAUUGCUUUUCUAAUGGAAGUUAAUAAAAACAGAGCACCCACUUACCCAUCACAUAUUUUCAUCUUCUCCACUCCAAAACACCCUACUCUGCACCUAAAGUUGCACUUCCUUCCUUGUAACUAUUUCAAAAACCCAAGAGACCAAUUGGUGGUGCGCUAUUGUUCCUGAUCAUCUGUUGAACAAUGAUGAAUCAUUGGCUAAAAAGGUCUACAUGUGUCGGAGCUACCACCGGGAUGUGGCCGAGACGACCCUAGAGCCGUUUGCUCCGAGUGCAACUAUACUCUCUCCACAGAGGUGCCUUAUGUCGCGGCACAGGCUACCGUGGAAGGAUCGUCUAGUGUGGUGGUGAAGGAGGGUAUGUGAAAGAUGUUGUUACAUACAUGAUAAUGGACAAUUUGGAAGUGAAGCCUAUGUCUACCAUAUAGUGCAUUAUUGGGGGAGCAUGUGAAUUUUCAAGUUCUUUUCUUAAUUGAUUCAAAUUGGCGAUUAAUGUAUAUGUUUCGAUUUCUACUCUGCACACUCGAUCGACAGACGAUAACCAUCAUGCAUUAUUCUGUAGGCUCUACUUUGCCACAUUUCUUUUCUUUUUUGUUUUGGUUGGAGGUGGUGUUGUUAUUCAAAAUGAUCAUUUUCUUUUCAUUAGUUCUUAGGGUCUGAAAUUGAUGAAGACAUCAUUGGAAUCCAAUGCAGUUGAAAUUGCAAGUUGUGUGGCUCCAAGAUGUUUUUGAGACUCAUGUAUUACACUCUUUUGCUGUUGAAUAAAUCACUUUCUUCAUUUUUGCUUGUUCCGUUAAAAACGAAGAAGUUUGUAUCUCGUACUCCGACACAAUCAUUUGGUUCACUAAUCUUCCUUUUUCAGUACAAAAGUGUCUAAAAAUUCCAAAGAGAUUUGAUGUUUAUUGAUCCGGUCAACUAGUCUAAUUCACAUAUUCUAUAUAUAUAAAAUAAAUAAUGACAUGCGCUAAUGUGUAUACUAUAGCAUACUAGUACUAACUGAAAUUACAAUACAAAGUGACCGCAAUAAUUUUGAACUACAAUAACCAAACACUUCACUUGUGUAAAAGAAGGGGGGAUUUUAGUGAAAUUUUCAGCACACAUUAAAAUUUAAUUUAAAUUAUAAAAUAGGAAAAUUUACUUAACAAAAGAUAAAAGAGUAAAAUCAAAUAUUUUAAGUUCAAAAAAAUAAAAUAACUCACAAAAUUAGAAAAAAUCACGUAUUGGGCAGUAAACACCAUAUCCAUUUCGUUUAUUUUAUUUCUUUUGGGCCCAAAAUGAGGCCCAAGAAUUAUAUUUUCAGUAAAACUCAAGGCCCGUAGCGAAGCAAGGGCAUUGUUAGUAAUAAAAAACAGAGUAGCUAUAUAAGGAGCUCAGAUUCGUCUUCUCCACUCGAAAACCCUACACUUCGGCCGCAGCUGCUCCUCAUCUACAGGUACUUCUUCAAGACUCCAUCUUCGCCGCUGUCUAGGACUCUUAGUACAGUUUUCUAACCAAUUUCGCUGACGAAGUGAAUUUCUUAAGCUGAAUUAGCUAUGUUCUUGGGCUGUGAUUUAUCCUCUUUUUUGUGUUUAAUAUUUUUACGAUUUAUCGCUUUGGUUAUGCGUUUGAGAUUUGUGUGUUUCUGCCUUUUCUAAUAUCCGUAUUGAUUAAGUUUGUCCUUGUUUUCUGUUUGCAUAAUGCUUGUUAGGUAGGUUUGUUUCUCGUUGAGCUCAGAGCAAUGGCUCCUGCUAAAGGUACCUCCUUUCUCAUAGAACUGAUAUAUUUUGUGUAAUACCCAGAAAAGGAAAAAAAAUGAAUUAGUGGGUUUCAGUAGCUGUAUUUGACGUAGGCGAUUACUCUGAAAAAUCAUUCUUUAUGCCACUAAAUCUCAUUUCACUGCUUCUACGUUUCGUCGUUGUAUGCUUGUUUAGAGUAAGAUUUGCAAGCCAGUGGCCGAAUCAAAUGGCAUGUUAUGUUAUUUUCUAUAUAUUCGGUGAACUUUCAUUUCAUUUUCAGUUGCUGCUUUUGAAAUGGCUAUGUAUUAUUUUUUGAGGGGGAUAUUGAUUAAGUUUGCAUGAUUACUUGUUUUGGGAAACCUGCGGGAUAGGAUUUAUUCAUUCACCUCUUAAUUUUGCUUUGGGUUGCUGUUAAGAAUGUAAUAAGAGUGUAAUAUUCAUAUUUUUCUCUAAGUGGUAGUUUCAGUCCAGGCACAUAAUUUCAUUUUAUUGUCUUAUGCAACCUAAAUUGUUAUUUGUUUGCCUCGUGCAGCUGACAACACGAAGAAGAGUGAUCCAAAGGCCCAAGCCUUGAAGACUGCCAAGGCUGUGAAAUCCGGCCCUACUUUCAAGAAGAAGGCCAAGAAGAUCAGGACAUCAGUCACAUUUCAUAGGCCAAGGACAUUGAAGAAGGAAAGGAACCCCAAGUAUCCCCGCAUUAGUGCACCACCAAGAAACAAGUUGGACCAUUAUCAAAUUCUCAAGUAUCCAUUGACUACUGAGUCUGCAAUGAAGAAGAUUGAGGACAACAACACACUUGUUUUCAUUGUUGACAUCCGAGCUGAUAAGAAGAAGAUUAAAGAUGCAGUGAAGAAGAUGUACGAUAUUCAGACCAAGAAAGUGAACACCUUGAUCAGGUAUAUGUUAUUAGUUUAUACUCGUUUUAGCAGCGCUGAGGUUUCAUUGCUGACAUGCUGAUCAAUGUUUCUGUAUUUGUGCUGGUCUAAUCAUGGAACAUGCUGGUUAAAUGUCUGCAUAAUCAUGUUGCUUUUCAUGAAGCUUAAUCUAACCCUUAUGUUGUGCAGGCCCGAUGGAACGAAGAAGGCAUAUGUUAGGUUGACACCAGACUAUGAUGCCUUGGAUGUGGCCAACAAGAUUGGGAUAAUCUAAAUUAAUGUUGUAUUGUCUUUUUAUUUUGAAGCCAAGUGAUUUCCGUUCUUGCUAUGACAGUUUUGUUAGUAUUGCGCUAUGUUAGUCCUCCUGGAGUAGUUUGGUUUUCUUCAAUUUGUAUUUGAUAUAUUCAUCGUUUCCUUUUUCUUAUGGCAAUGGGAUGCAAUUAAAAUUUAGUUCGGUGUUAAUGCCUUAAUAUACACCGUCUAUUACCAUGUUUUGAAUUUUGUUUUAAACAUAAGCAACCAUUUAUUUAUGUUGGAUCAUUGUGCUGUUGACGAAUUCUACCUUGAAAAUUUUGCGGUUUGGUAUUUCUUUCGGCAAAGUAUUGUGCCCUCGAUAUAAGUUAUUUUCAAUUAACAGCUGCCUGAAAGGAUACGGUUGAAUGAAAAACGCUGUGAUUAUGAUGGGCAGCUGAUGUGAAUGCUGGUUCGGCAAAAAUGUAUUUCAUAUGUCAAUGACUAUAUAAUAUAUUUAUCCAGAAGAAAAAUAUUUCUCCCCUCUCCCACCCUCUCAAUAAUACAAAAUGAAAAGAAAGAAAUGAAGAAAAAAGAAAACACAAAAGAAAAAUGUUGAUGAGCAUAAUGGUAUUUGCUAAUUGCAACCAAAUGUGAGCCGUUCCUAAUCAGAUUUGUGAAACCCCAUCUCAGACUUUGAAGAUUUUGAAAGAAUCAACGACGGUGUGUAAUUUGUCUUUCAUCUUACCCCACCUCCUCUCAUUGGCCCCAGUGGUCAAAGUGAAGAACUUGCCUGCAAACCAGAAACAAAACUUUACACUAAGAUGCCGACCUACAAAACUAUCUAUAUCUAAGCUGUGAUUCAGGCUUGCUGAAAAAUGAUGUAGCAAAUGCCAAGCCUGCUGAGAAAUUGAAUGAAGCAGAAUAGAAGAAGCCUUAAACAGGAUGCAUUUCCCAGUUUCAUACCAUUGCCAAUAGAUAUCGUGCUGAGCGCGUGGCGAGUAUAGUUUGGAGCCUUCGCAACGAACUCGAAAGUGUAAUAUGUUUUCCCAUCAAUUUCAUGCUGCACCAUAGAUACAAAAGCAAUUAAUCAGCAUUCAAUUAGGCCAUAUAACCUAGAAUCAAGGAUAAAAAUAUAUUGAAGUUCCAUAUAAGAAGGUAGCUACUGCAUCUGCCAUACUGUUUUAUGAUACCUCCUGAUCAACAAAAAGUUUGCAGCAUUUCCAAACAGAAGCUCAUUGAUUUCCUAUUUUCACUUCUAUCACAAAUUUGCUAUACGUAACUACAUAUUUCAGGAGAUUUCAUUGUUUGUAACUAGCUGAUUGCUUCCCCUUCAUGAAAGCACAAAAAAGUUGAACACAUUAUGGUAAUAUCAAGCAAAAACAAAUCAAAGAACAAACCUCUACUGCCUCAAUCAGUUUUGUUUUCUGGGUAGGAGGAGCCAGAACCUUCUUGAUUAAAACUUCAGCCACCUGAGAUCAUUAAGUAAAUGAGUAUGGUAACUUACUAGUCUUUCAUCCACCAAUGUAAGGAAGGACUGAGCAAAAUGCAAACAGAAACUGAUUUCAACCUCUGAGAUUCUGGUUAAUGUUAGAGACACAACACUAGUGGCAAAGAUCAGAGAGCUAACCUGCUGUGGUGACCCGAAUUCCUUAAUGUCUUGCUUGACGGUUGGGAAGACAUUCACACUUACAGUCUCUAAUGGUUCAAUGACAUCCUUGAAGACCUUGUCUUGACCUUCAACGGUUACUUCCUGUGCUCUCCCCAGAAAGAGAAAAAAAAAAAAAAAAACCCACUAAAGAACUGGCCAUAACUCUAAAUGUCUACCACCUCAAUGAUCAAUUACAUAAGCCAGAGGUAGAUAAAACCCAAAAACUCUCACCUGCCACCCAAAGGGAUAAACAAAUUCGUACCCGUCUGUCUUGUCCGUGACUGGCAGAAAUCCCUUUUUAUUUUCUGCAGCAACUGAGCCAUAUCAAAGGUGUUCUUUUAGGUUAUCAGUCAUCAUUAAUCAAGGAAGGCAACGCAUUGCACAGAAUGGGCAUUGUUGCUAGUACAUGAACACUAUCUAGUAUUUAGCAUGGAAUCUAGAAAACCUGGUACAACAAAGCUAAACUUGAAAGGACAAAGUACAGAACAAAUGAAGUUGUUGAAAUUCCUUACAUGACACAGAAUGUUGAUUAGUUAGAAAAACCCAAGAAGCAAUUGUCCCUGCAGCUAGUACUUGGCGUCUCCCAGAUCUAUCUGCCAAAUAUAAACACAAACUUAGAUGGAAAUUCAAAAACAAAAAUGAUGGGUACCCAAUGUCAUCAAUCAAUCAAUAUAAUACAAAAGCCAAAAGUUGUGCCUAAAACUGCCAAAGAUUAUUACUUCUACCAUGAAUGAGUGAUUACAAUUUACAAAGGGCAAUAAUAUGUAACAGCAAUGCAGAUUAAAUUCCACAAAUAUGGGUAUAAAGCAAGAAGGACCUUGAGAAGGAGAGCAUGUUGAAGAUGCCGGAGUUUGCUCUGCUCUUACCAAGAACGAAUUGCUUCUUCUACAGCAAUGGAAUGUGCUUUGCUUAUGCAACUGAUGCCAUAAAACCCAAAAAAAUAUUACCAAGUGAAAAGAAACAAAAUUUAAACACAAACACUCAAUGAAUUCAUAGAGCUACAAUGGAAACCGAGAGAGAGAGAGAGAGAGAGAGAGAGAGAGAGAGAGAGAGAGAGAGAGAGAAAACCUUAGUGAAAGAGUUGAGCACAAGGGUCCUGUGGAGGGAAGGUGAGUUCUGCAGGGUCGCCAUUGCCAGUGGUUUUUUUUUGGAGUCUCUGAAUUUUGUGAGUGAAGCAGGAACAAAAGUGGACUCAAGUGUGUUUGUGGAGAUCACCUUAUCUAUUUCCUUCUCUGUUUGGACGACUUAUCUGUUAUACUCGUUGAGCCACCUGUAUUGGCUGUUGUUCGUUAAGACCUUUUGCUUGCCACAUCAGAAAAUAAAAGAGAGAAGAAAAAAAUACACUGUUAAAACUUAAAAAUAGGCCAUUUUGAUAAUGUUUUUGGCGAAUAUUUUCUGAAAAUAAAAACGAGAAAACAAAUUUACAUUUUCAGAAUUCGAGAAUGUUUAUGGUAGAUUAAUUAAAAAAUAUAUUUAAAAAAUUAAAACAAUAAAGACUGUCUGGUAGAUUUGAGAAUAAUAAUAUGUGUGGUAUAUUUCAAAGGUAUUUUUGUUAAUGUCUGAUAAAAAAAAACUAUAACACAAUUUUAUGUAUAAAAAUAACUUCAACCCCACUCUUGUAAGCAAAGGAAAGGUUGAUAAAAAAAAAAUUUAAAAUAAAAAAGCUAAAGAAAAGAAAAAAACAAACACACCACCUUUUUUUAUUUUUGGUCAGAACACCCCACCUCAUUUUCCCGAUCUAAACAUAUCUCCUCUCUCUCUCUCUCUCUCUCUCCAUUUUUGUUAACUAAACACCUCUGAGAUCUUUGAGAUCUCAAUAAACAACCUCUUGUUUUUAAGGUCAUAGUUUCAAGGUCAUAUUCUCCUAGCAGCAAAAAUCAGGUAGAUGGGUUUUGUGCUUGUUCAAUUGGCUUGAUAGUGCUGGUUCGAUUGGGUGGUGAUGGUGCUUCUAUUGGGUAUGGGUGGUGGAGGUGCUGGAGCCGAUUGCUUUUACUAGGUGGCGAUGAUGUGUAUUGGGUUGGAUUGGGUGUUUGGUGGUGAUUCAAUUGGGAUGGUUGGGUCUGUGAGGUUUGGUGGCAGUGGCAGGAGCAGUGGCGGUGGCAAUGGUCUGACAGCCGUGUCGGUGGUGGGUUUGAUGGUGGACGCUGUGGCGGGUUGGACAGCGGUGGUUGGGGUUUGAUUAUGGCGGUGACAAUUAAUUUUCGAUUCUAUUUUGCUUUUGGAAAUGUUGAAUCUGCAUUCUCUAAAAACGCUGGAAACGUCAAAAUGAAGUUGUCUACUGUGUUUUUAGACUUCCCCACCGAACGCAUAUUCCACCCGUUUUUACACUAGGAAAAUGAAAAGAGACUCUAAAAACGCCACCGAAUGGGCCUAGAAACAAAAACCCAAUUAACUUUAAACAUUUUUUUAUACAAAUAAUAUUAAGGGAGGAAGAAUCGAACUCAAGAUUUCGAUAUAAGAUAAAUGCUCUUUUUUCAUGAUGUAUGUGGGAAGUUUACUAAUGAUAUUGUUGUCACAAGAUUUGCAUAAAAUUCAAACCUUUUGAUAACAUAUUGUUGGUUUUCAAAAUUUAUAUUAUAUGUUCCUUUAAAACUAAGGUAUGAUGUGAGGAAUUUAGCAUAUCCUCUUUGUAAUUUUAUUUCUUGUUUUAAAAAUAAAAAAUAAAAAAUAAAAAAACAGUUGUUAGUCUCAAAUUCAUAUCCCAGUGUUUAUUAUUGAUGUUCCAAAUAGAUAUAAUUAGUUAUCAAGUCAAUCAUGUUAAUUCGGAUCUAUUAUCAACUAAUCGUGUUGAUGAAGUUCAAUAAUAAUAAUAAAAAGAAAUUGUGCAUUAUGAUUUUUUUUCUAUAACAUGUUUUCUUAGAAUGCAAUAAACAUAAAAACUUUGCUUUCAUCAUGAUUGCGCAGCAUAAUGCUAAGCUAACACAAUUGAAUUGAAUUCUACAUUAUAUCAACCAAAAAGCAAAUUACAUGGUAAUAAAAUGCUUUUAAGAAAAGUUGGUUUGAUUUUUUAACUACUUAAGACUUUGCUGCCGGAUUAUUGUUGAUUAAUUACAGAUGCAAGCUCAACAUCAAAUCAAGGUGACACAAGCAACUUAAAAUUAACAUAAUGAAGUGGUGCUGUGGUGGUUCCCAUCCUUUUCGAUGAAUAUAGAGAUGAGUAGGAAGAAAGUAAAAGCUUCUAAUGUUAAGAUAAUUCAACAAUUGUUGUUCGUAAUAUUUGAAAACCGGACACCACAAGACCAAACAAUGAUUACAAAUUGAACAUAACUUAUAUGAAUUGUCGAAAAUUAUUAUCGAACGUAACUUCAACAAAACUUGGAAACAAAGCAACAAACUUUCUCUUAAGUUAUGUGAAAAUAUAGGCAUUGUCUUCGAACUUUGAAUUCGCAUUAAGAUUGACAAUUUCUAAAGUGUGUGACAAUAUAACACAUUAAGAUAUUUCCCUCAACAAUAUUUUUUUCCUUUCAAUGAGGAAGGAAAAGGGAGAACACCUUGGCAACAUUACUCCAAUAAAGAAAUGGUACCUACCAACCCAAAAGGCAAAAUGAAAAAGAAUGAGAGGGAACAGAGCAAAUGCACUGGCACCAAAAGAAAAGAAAAAGAAUGCUCACCCCUUUCUCCUUCGCAAUCAUCUCUCUCUUUUUGCUCCUCCUCCUCCUCCUCCUACGCUCUUACUCACACACAUGACACCCCAUAGACUCCCAAAAAAAAUUCUUUAAAGAAUUCCAUUUAAAUAUAAACGAAAAGCCAACUAACCUCCCCGCCCAUAUCACCUAAAUCCACACGUGUCACCCUCCCACCUCCCAACCUCCUGGACUACAACGUAAUUUCACCAGACCUCACACAGCUGUUCACACAUUUACCAACACAAAUCAUUCCCCGCCAAAUUACCAAACUACCCCCAAAAAAACAUGACCCAGGUGCAAAUCCCUCCAAAACGCAUAUCUUCAUCGCCGGCGUUUGACCGUUAUAACCAAAACAGAAAUACGAAGAAGAACGAUGUUUUCAUUUUCAUUUUCAUUUUCGUAUUUUUGAAAUUUUAUUUUAUUUUUUGGGGAGUUUUUUUAUUUUUUGGGUUUGUGACAGUGGGUGUGCGUGGAGUCAAUAUUUCUGCUUCUGCUUCUUCCUUGUUUGUCUUUCUCCGCCUUGUUUGACCGAGUCGCCAGCCUAUCGACGACUCGUUGUUUUUCGUCUUCUUCGUCUCCUCUCUUCUGCUGCUUUUCGAAAAAGCAAAAAACAGCAGAAGAUCACAGAGAAGCCGAAACAUCAAAACAUCAAAAUCUCCUCUAAAUUUAGCACAGAUCCCGCUAAAUUUAGAGGGAGCGAGAAAAAUACGUACAAUUAGGUUUAGGGUUUUUGGGACAGAGGGAGGUGUAGCAGGAGGACAGGGAGCGAGCUAGGGUCACAACGGUAAUUUCUCCACCGCCAAGAUGAUGAUCUCUCGGGGGCUGUUCGGGUGGUCGCCCCCGCACAUACAGCCCUUGACGCCGGUCUCCGAGGUGUCCGAGCCGCCCGAGUCGCCGUCGCCGUACAUGGACCAGAGUGCCGACGCGUCAGCCCAGCCGAUGGAGCAGGAGGAGGAGAUGGAGGAGCCGGAGGAGAUCGAGCCGCCGCCGGCCGCCGUGCCCUUCUCGCGGCUCUUCACCUGCGCGGACCGCCUCGAUUGGGUUCUCAUGACCGUUGGAUCGCUCGCCGCCGCGGCUCACGGGACGGCUCUCGUGGUGUACUUGCACUACUUCGCGAAGAUAAUUCAGAUACUCUGGAUGGGCAAAAACCACCCAGGCGACCAGCCGCCGCCGACUGAUAUUAGCGAGGAGCAGUUCCAGAAGUUUAUGGAUGUGAGUUAUCUUGAUUUAUCGAAACCCUAGCACGUGUUUUUUCCGUUUGGUUGAUGACAAAAAGGAUUGAAAUUGUUCUAUUAAGCGAGUCUUCGUUUAAAUUGAGCUGGAAACCGAUGGUUUAAGUGUGGGACAUACGACAUAUAGUAUUCGAAUUUCCUUUUGUAGGUAUUUUUUUUCUUUUUGUUUUUUUGUUAGCCUGAGCUGCUUUUAAGAAGUUUGGGAUGCAGUAUUCCCAAUUAAUCGUUUAGGUUUUGUAGUAGCUAUAGUACUAGGGAUAGAAAUUUCUGUUUGCUGCUUAACUUUACAUGCGUAUAUUUGAAUCCUCUUGUUUGAUAAAGGAAGAUGGUUGUUUAAUAGUAGUGUUGAAAUCAUCCAAAAGAAAGGGAAGAUCGCAUAUGAGGGGCAUAUGCUUAUUCAUUUUUUGUUUUACCGCUGACAGAUGUUCAUAAGCAAGUGUUACUAUGGUAUGUUUGAACUGUUGCUUUCUUUCUUGGGGUAUAUUUGUUUUGCCACUGAUUCAUUUCCCAAUCUAUUGGCACACUGAAAUACUGAGAAUAGUUUGAUUCUCAAAAAAUAUAUAUUUGUCUUUGGAGGUGUGGUGCUAAUCUUUUUGGCCUAUCAACUUUAUAUGAUUAUGAGAGAGAUAUAGCAUGUCAUUUAUCUAUUAUGAGGCGUGAAAUGUUUCAAGAAUGUCCUAGUAGAUGUAUAUAAAAGAUAUAUAUAUAUAAGUUUAAAGGUAAUUCUAACUAAAGUUUUGUCCGAAAACCUUGGUUCAGAAGUUUUUGCGUUAUAGAAAAAUGUGUGUUGUUGAAAUAAUUUAUAAGAAUUCUCAGCAAAAAGAAUCUAUUGAUUAACAGGCGGCUUCUGAAUUGUAUUCAGACAAAAAUUAUCUUUUUCUGUUUUUCUCCUUGGACUUCUAUAGUAACCAAGAGUCUUUGUUGUCUUUCUGCACAUUUUUUUAUUCUUUAUUAUACCAUCUUCUCAAUGAGUAUCAAUGUAUGAAAUGGAAGUUGAAGGAAUGAGCACAUAUUCAAUAACUGUUUUAUUGUCUGCUUGCAGCUUGCUUUAUCCAUCAUUUAUAUUGCCACAGGCGUUUUUGCUGCUGGCUGGAUUGGUAAGAUUGAUUUUUCACUAGAAGAAUUAGUCAUCACUGCAUUUCUUUCAUCACAGAAUAUGCUCCUCUGCAUUUAUACUAACUUUUUUCUAUGUAAUAGAGGUCUCAUGCUGGAUUCUGACGGGAGAAAGGCAGACUGCUGUCAUCAGGUCAAACUAUGUUCAAGUAUUACUUAAUCAGGAUAUGAGUUUUUUUGAUACCUACGGGAACAACGGGGACAUUGUGAGCCAAGUAUUGAGUGAUGUGCUGCUCAUUCAGUCUGCUCUUAGUGAAAAAGUAUGCCUAAAGCUAAUAUAUCAUCUCUUUCCCUGUCCCCCUUUUCAAGCACACACUUUUUUUUUACUGACAAACUUCUUCCGUAUGUGAUCUAUCAGUGCAUGUGUCUUGCCUAAUAUUUUUAUUGCACUGUGAUAAUGCAGGUUGGGAACUAUAUUCAUAACAUGGCUACAUUUUUCAGUGGUCUCAUUAUUGGAUUCAUCAACUGUUGGCAGAUUGCGGCAAUAACAUUGGCCACUGGCCCAUUUAUUGUUGCUGCUGGAGGAAUAUCAAACAUAUUUCUCCAUAGGCUUGCUGAGAAUAUUCAAGAUGCAUACGCUGAAGCAGCUAGCAUUGCAGAACAGGUUUAUUAUUUAAUAUAAUGAAUUUCCAUCUUACCUAACCAUGGAAUCAAAUAGAAAAAUUUCUUUGCCUCUUUUUUCGGGCCGUAUCAUCAUAUUUAUUGCAAAUAGUGUCACAAAUUGCGUUUUUUUAGUAUCACAUCUUUGACAUGUCUGGUUGAUAGAUCAAUUCUAUUGAUAGUCUUGGAUAUGUAAUGGUCGUUUUUCAUAUAAUGAAUUUCCAUCUUACCUAACCAAGGAAUCAAAUAGAAUUCUUUUUUUGCCUAUUUUUUCGGGUCAUAUUAUCAUAUUUGUUGCAAAUAGUGUCAUAAAUUGCCUUUUUAGUAUGGUGUUGAUAGAUCACUUAUACUGAUAGUCUCAGAUAUGUAAUGGUCGUCAUUUUGGCAAAGUGGUUAAGGGCAUUGUUUCUUAAAUUUCCGUACUUCUUUGAUUAUGCAGGCAGUCUCUUACAUUAGGACGUUAUAUGCAUUUACAAACGAAACAUUAGCCAAGUAUUCGUAUGCAACAUCACUGCAAGCAACUCUCAGAUAUGGCAUAUUGAUAAGCCUUGUGCAAGGACUUGGACUUGGAUUUACUUAUGGUCUUGCCAUUUGUUCUUGUGCCUUGCAACUGUGGGUUGGAAGGUUCCUGGUUUCGCAAGGGAAAGCUCAUGGUGGUGAAAUUAUAACAGCCCUCUUUGCUGUAAUAUUAAGUGGCCUGUAAGCAUCUUGUUUAUGUUUUAAUAUAUAUAUAUAUAUAUUAUCUUUUCUCUAGGAACAUAUGCCUAUCAUUUAUUCCUUUCUACUUUUGUGUUAUUUCCGUCUUCAUUUACAGUGGUCUGAAUCAAGCGGCAACAAACUUCUACUCAUUUGAUCAAGGUCGAAUUGCUGCAUUUAGACUUUUUGAGAUGAUAAGUCGAUCAUCUUCUACCGUUAAUCAUGAGGGAACUACCCUAGUAACCGUGCAAGGAAAUAUUGAGUUUCGGAAUGUAUAUUUCAGUUAUCUAUCUCGUCCUGAGAUCCCGAUUUUGAGUGGUUUUUACCUCACUGUACCUGCUAAGAAAGCCGUGGCACUCGUCGGCAGGAAUGGUUCUGGAAAGAGCAGUAUUAUCCCCCUCAUGGAGCGGUUUUAUGAUCCUACAUUAGGUAUGAGGGUCAUAUUUCUUGCACAUUGUGGUGUGUUUACUAUUUCAUUCAAGGUUCCACUGAAACGUUUAGCAAAAAUUUCUGCUUGCAGAUUCCAAUGGUUUUUCCAUUUUGUGGUGCAGGAGAAGUUCUUUUGGACGGAGAAAACAUAAAGAACCUGAAACUGGAGUGGCUUAGAAGUCAGAUAGGGCUAGUCACGCAGGAGCCUGCCUUGCUGAGUCUGAGUAUAAGAGAUAAUAUUGCUUAUGGCCGGGAUGCUACAGUGGAUCAAAUUGAAGAAGCUGCUAAAAUAGCGCAUGCGCAUACAUUUAUUACCUCACUUGAGGGAUCAUAUGAUACACAGGUGAAACUUGGAAUGCAAAAUAUACAUUGAACCUGUAUCUGUUUUUAUGUUAGUUUCUUUCUCAGCUGUUUUUCUUGUGAAACAUUUUAUAAAAAUUCAUUUUGAUCUUCACAUUUCAGGUGGGAAGAGCAGGCUUAGCAUUGACGGAAGAGCAAAAAAUAAAACUUUCAAUUGCCAGAGCUGUGCUGCUAAACCCGUCCAUUCUUUUGCUUGAUGAAGUCACUGGAGGACUUGAUUUUGAGGCUGAAAGAGCUGUUCAAGAAGCUCUAGAUCUCCUCAUGUUGGGUCGUUCAACUAUAAUUAUAGCUCGGCGGCUUAGUCUUAUAAGGAACGCUGAUUAUAUAGCUGUGAUGGAGGAAGGCCAACUAGUUGAGAUGGGUACGCAUGAUGAGUUACUAACUCUGGAUGGCCUAUAUGCGGAGCUUCUCAAAUGUGAAGAGGCUGCAAAACUUCCUAGGAGGUAUGGUACAAGAACAGUUGUUCUUCCUUUAGUUUGGUUGAAGAUUUCCUGUGAUUAUCUUUGCACUAUCUGUUCGGAGUUUUAUGUAACCACACAAUAAUUUCUAUUUCGAAAUGGAUUAUCAUUUUUCUUCUUACCAAGUUAUGUCUUUAUGAUUUCUGUUAAUACAGGAUGCCAUUGAGGAACUACAAGGAGACUGCAACCUUCCAAAUUGAAAAGGAUUCUUCGGCAAGUCAUAGCUUCCAAGAACCAUCAUCUCCAAAAAUGAUGAAAUCACCCUCGCUUCAGAGAGCUAGUGGCAUGUUCCGGAUGGGAGAUGGCAAUUUUAACUCAGAGGAGUCACCAAACGCUAGGAGUCCUCCAGCAGAGAAAAUGUUGGAAAAUGGUCAGCCCUUGGAUUCAGCAGAUAAGGAACCAUCAAUAAAAAGGCAGGAUAGUUUUGAAAUGAGACUACCUGAGUUACCCAAGAUUGAUGUCCAGUCUGUAAAUCAACAGACAUUGAAUGGUUCGGACCCUGAAUCCCCCGUUUCACCCCUUUUGACAUCUGAUCCGAAAAAUGAGCGUUCCCAUUCACAAACCUUUAGCCGUCCACAUAGCCAUUCGGAUGAUUUUCCCAUGAAAUUGAAGGAAGAAAAAAGCACACAUCAAAAGAAGGCACCAUCAUUUUGGAGGCUUGCACAGCUUAGUUUUGCAGAGUGGCUUUAUGCUGUGUUAGGAAGCAUUGGUGCUGCUAUCUUUGGUUCCUUUAAUCCUCUUCUCGCUUAUGUUAUUGCACUGAUAGUAACAGCAUACUACAGAGGUGAUGAAGGUCAUCACUUGAGUCAGGAAGUAGACAAAUGGUGCUUGAUCAUUGCUUGCAUGGGUAUAGUGACAGUCGUUGCCAAUUUCUUGCAGCAUUUCUACUUUGGUAUUAUGGGGGAGAAAAUGACGGAACGAGUUCGUAGAAUGAUGUUCUCAGGUGCGUGACUCUUUAAUCUCUUAUUAGUUUUAGAUAUUGCAUUGUACCGUGUGGGCACUUUAUCUUACAUUUUGCAAUCAUGUGACAGCAAUGCUGCGCAAUGAAGCUGGAUGGUUUGAUGAAGAAGAGAACAGUGCCGAUACCUUAUCCAUGCGCUUGGCAAAUGAUGCUACAUUUGUACGGGCUGCUUUUAGCAAUCGGCUUUCAAUAUUUAUACAGGAUAGUGCUGCUAUUAUUGUGGCUGUUCUCAUUGGGAUGUUGCUACAAUGGCGAUUAGCACUAGUGGCUUUGGCAACUCUACCAAUUCUCACUAUUUCUGCCAUUGCACAGGUUUUCAUCAUAUCUACUUUUAUAAUGUAAAAUUGUCCUGAUAUUUCUACACGAGUUGAGUUGUGUUUGUUUUAAUUUAUUGUUCAGUCAACUUGUGGAUGACAGGGUUUCUAUAUAUACGUAUUUUUUUUUUUUUCUGUUUCUUGUAAGAAUAGAUUGUGGUUUCUCUGGUUGAUCAGUUUGCCCCUUCUUUAUUCUCCAAAUGUUAAUGUCAAAAUUAGCAGUACCCAUGUAUUGGUGAGCACCAUUUAGUGGAAAGCAAUCAAGUUCUUAGGAGCUUCAAACUUUUCCAUUGCACAUUCCAAUUACUAAUUUUCAGUGCUUCCCAUUACUGCCUCGGGAAAGGGCAUGAAUCCAAGGGAAACCUUUUUUUUUAUUUUAUAAAGCUGCAUUAUGAUUAUUAUGCCUUUUACCUAUGGUGGAUUUGAAAACUAAGUUUUAAUUAUCUUUAGGGAUCUAUUAAGUGAUAAUAUGCCUGGCUUCUCUUUUAUGAAAUCAUCCUAUUGGCUGAAUUAGAGAUACAAAUCUAGAUAUUUAUAGUUAGUGUUUGUUACAUAGUGUUGUCUGAUUGGGUUCUGUUACUUUGUCUUGUUUAAAGAAGUUAUUUAUGCUCCUCGUCGAAUUUAGUACCCUUUUGAUUUAAUGAUGCAUUGCCAUUGGUUUUUUGACCCAAAAAGAACCUCGUUAUUUUUAUUCUGAAUGUUGCAGAAAUUAUGGCUUGCUGGUUUCUCAAGGGGAAUUCAGGAGAUGCACAGGAAGGCAUCUUUGGUUCUCGAGGAUGCAGUUAGAAACAUUUACACUGUUGUAGCAUUCUGUGCUGGUAACAAGGUAAUGGAGCUGUACAGAUUGCAGCUAAAGAAAAUAUUUAAGCAGAGUUUCUUUCAUGGAAUGGCCAUUGGCUUUGCAUUUGGCUUUUCGCAGUUCCUUCUUUUUGCCUGUAACGCCCUUCUUCUCUGGUACACUGCAAUCUCUGUGAGAAAUAAGUAUAUGGAUCUACCUACUGCUAUCAAGGAGUACAUGGUUUUCUCUUUUGCUACAUUCGCACUGGUAGAGCCUUUUGGGUUGGCUCCUUACAUACUAAAACGCCGUAAAUCUCUCAUUUCAGUAUUUGAAAUCAUUGAUCGAGUGCCAAAGAUUGAGCCAGAUGAAAACUCGGCAAUGAAACCACCUAAUGUUUAUGGAAGCAUUGAGUUGAAAAAUGUUGACUUCUGUUAUCCAACUCGCCCAGAACUGUUGGUACUGAGCAAUUUCAGUCUCAAAGUAAACGGAGGGCAAACUGUAGCUGUGGUGGGAGUUUCAGGAUCAGGAAAGAGCACUAUAAUUUCUUUGAUUGAGAGAUUUUAUGAUCCAGUUGCUGGCCAAGUCUUACUGGAUGGCCGAGAUCUGAAAGUUUAUAAUUUGAGAUGGUUGAGGAACCACCUAGGUCUUGUUCAGCAGGAGCCCAUCAUUUUCUCCACAACAAUCAGGGAAAAUAUAAUAUAUGCAAGGCACAAUGCUAGCGAAGCUGAGAUCAAAGAGGCUGCAAGAAUAGCAAAUGCUCACCAUUUCAUCAGCAGCUUGCCUCAUGGUUAUGACACGCAUGUGGGGAUGAGAGGUGUUGACCUGACCCCAGGACAGAAACAGAGAAUUGCAAUUGCUCGUGUCGUGCUAAAGAAUGCUCCCAUCUUGUUAUUGGAUGAAGCAAGCUCGUCCAUUGAAUCCGAGUCAAGCCGAGUGGUGCAGGAGGCUCUUGAUACAUUAAUCAUGGGGAACAAAACAACCAUUUUGAUAGCCCAUAGAGCUGCAAUGAUGAGGCAUGUUGAUAACAUUGUAGUUCUCAAUGGAGGGAGAAUUGUGGAAGAAGGGUCCCAUGAUUCUUUAAUGGCAAAGAAUGGUCUCUAUGUCCGUUUGAUGCAACCGCACUUUGGCAAGGGGUUGCGUCAACACCGACUUGUUUAGGAUGGGUCUUCAAUUGUCGAGAAUUCAUAUUUGGUUCAUCUGUAUAGUUCCCAUUCCCUCAUUUUGAAUUGCUGGAGACAUCUGCACCUGAUGAUGGAUCUGUCUGUGGGGUUCCAGAGUAAGCUGGGGAGAAUGAGAAUGAGAUGCUGAGGGUUGUAACAAUGUUUAUAGCAGAAUGAGGCAUGGAAUGCAGAGGCGGCGGAUUCGUAGUUAUAUUGUUCAAAUCUAGGGUUUAGGAAUAGGGUUUUUGGUGUUUGGUUGUUCUUUGAGGAUGUGCUACCUGGGCUAAUUCUUUAGGAGGCAAGCAUGGUUAGGUUGGUGUUUGUGCUUCGUCUCCAUGGUAUAUUGAUUGUUUUAAGCUGAAAAAUGGGUAUCAAUUCAAAGUCUCUACUGAGGUUGCGGGGGUUUUCCCUAAAAUUCUAGUUUUACUUGGCUCGCUCUUUGUUGUAACCUUUGUAAAUAUAUAGAUUAUUUAAUGCUAUUCAUUUUCUCCUGCUUGAUUCCACGAUUUGAAAUUUGUGCCCUGAAUCUUCAAUUAUUAGAUUGGGUUUUGCCUGUUCAAAUACCUUAACCCUAUCAUUUUUAAUCCAGUUGUUGAAGUUGAUUCGAUGCUCUCCUUUUUUUUUUUUUUUUUUCUCUCCUUCAUUAUUCUGUACAUCCAUGGUUGAUGCAAAGAAAUCGAGAAGAAGAAUAUAGCAACGGAUUUCUUAGAAAGUACAUAUAUAUACACCAAAUGGGAAUUUCAUUCCUUAACACGAAAAACAAAUCCUGAAUUUCACAUCGGAGAUUGGCUUGCUCCGUGAAAUUGCAUCUUAGAUGUCAAGCAUCCUGAAAGAGUCUGCCACCACUUUAAGCUGGUUGCGGUAUCUUUUCCACCGCCUUUCAUUUGCUACCACAAUCAGGGUGUAAAAUCUCCCUGUAAGACACAACAUGCAACUUAGUAUUGAAUUUUGGAACUACGUUAGCUUCUUCAUUCGUGCAAGAAAUGAGAAGAAAAAAACAUGGAAUCUUUGGUAUGUUAGGUUGUCCGACUGGGAAUUUCGACCAGGUAGAUUCUUGUGCAAUCUAAAUAUUUGUUAAGAUGAUGGAUACUUACCAUUUCCAAUGGCUACGGUUGCAAAGGAAUUGGUAGCAAAGUUUGGAGUUUGAAGUCCAUACUCGACGGUGUAAUAGUUUUUCCCAUCUAUGUUUCUCUGCACUCCAUAGAUAGCCAAUGCAGGAGUUAUGAAGAUGUUAGAGUUGUACAGUGCAAGAGUUCUUCUAUCUAAAGAGGAUAAGAAUACAACCUCCUGCAUGCCAAAUAUAGUUGCAUACUGGUUGGGUGAAGCAAGUUUAUAUCUAACCAAAUCGGAAACAACCUGUUCAAAAUGGAAACUUGUCAAGGGCCACUUAAACUUCAUAGAGAAUAUAAAACAACCCAAACAAAAAAAAAAAAAAUGCAAAGGUUUUACCUCUUCCAUUGGACCCAAUUCGUGAAUGUCUGUUUUAUUCGUUGGUAAAAAUCUCACUCUAACAUUAUGCAGUUGCAUAUAUCUGUCCUUGAAGGCAGAGUCAUGUGCCCUGAACUCAAAAUCCUGAAAGAUGAAACCACAGAAAUUAUUCUGAUGAAGAAAGAGAUUUUCCCUGUGGGAAAGAUUAGGCUUCUGCAUAAUGUUGAUUUUCUUACCCUCCAAUCAUAGGGGUAGUAAUAAGAAUACCCAUCUACUUUGUCAACAAAAGCUCUGUACUUUUCCGGUAUUUCUUCACAUUGAAGAGAAUUGGUUACCAAUUUAUAACUCAGAGGAUAUAGUUUACAGAAAUACAAGUAUAGACAUCAUACCUUCAGCAAAGAGGGAGGUUGCUUGAAGUAGACUUGUAGUUAGUGCUCCCACUCCUAAGAGUAGCGGCCUUCUCUUGCAAUGGCCUGAAUUUCAUCAAGCUCAUCAAUCAGUUGAGGAUACAACGCUUAUUGGAAUCUGAUGAAGUUUGAAUCAAAAUCUUUGCAUCAGGGUGCAAUUAUUAUAUGUGAUUAUUUACCAAUUUAUAAUGACAAAUCUUUUUUCAUUUUGCCAAUGUUCGUAAGGAGUAGAGAGAAACUCACACACACUUGUAACAUGAGAGUUUGAACCCAGGACCUGAGAGCACCUCAAAGGCCUGAGCCAAUCCAACUAACACCCGGUGGUUAUAAUGACAAUUUAUAAAACAUAUUCUUCAGGAAAAAACCAUUUACACGAUACAAAUUAAACCAGGCAAUUAAUCAAGAACAAUGUAGGGGAAAUUCUCUAGAAAAAUGCACACAGAGCCAAAAUUCAAAUAAAUUGAAGCAAAACUCAGAAGCAAUGUUGGGUGCUCAUCAAUAUGGCAAGCCAUAAAUAUGCAACACUAAAAGAAAGAAAAAAGCUGGGAUGGGUAAUCUUACUUUCAUCAAUGGAGGCUGGCUCUGCUGAGCAUGUGAUGUUUUUGGAAGAAAAAUAAGCAGUGGUGGUAGCUCGUGGCAACUCAUUGUUGUGAUUAGGCAGAGUUAAUUGAAACUGGUGCAAAAACAAAUACAGGGAUUAGUCUUAAUGAAGAUCGCUCAAAGAUAUAAACUUGGUGCGUUUACCUUGUCAGGAAUGGUAGUGGAGACCCAGCUCAGUGAGAGAGAUGACGAAAUUGCCAUAUUUGAUUGUAAGAAGUGGAUGGUGGAGACUCAAGCUUUCAGUUCGGCUUUUUGAUGGGGGUUGAGUGGACUCUGGCCCGGCGAGCUCUUACACGGGACAUGCACGUGACUAAAAAGAAGGCUUGAUAGUAUUUAUUUUAUAUAUUUUUUUAAUAAAGUAAAAGGAAGGAAAUUGUGAAAUAUUUAAAAUACUAAAAAAUGUCAUUGAUUAAUCCAAACAUUAAGAAUUAAAAUUAUUAAUUAAAUGAGGAUAAUAUGAUAAAUUCACACUUUUUCAUAUUUAAAAAAAUUAAAAUUAAAUAAAAAAUCAGAUAAUGAAUCUAUAUAUAUAAAGCAAAAGGCAGAGAAUGGUGAAACAUUCAAAAUACCAGAAAAUGCCCUUGGUUAAUGCAAACAUUAAGAAUUGAAAUUAUUAAUUAAAUGAGGAUAAUAUGGUAAAUUCACAAUUUUUUGUAUUAAAAAAAUUAAAAUUAAAAGAAAAUUCAGAUAAUGGGUCCUAUUUUUAUGGAACACAAAUAUCCAUUAUCUUUUUUAAUUCUAAAAUAAAUUUAAAUUUAAAAAAAAAAAACCUCUUGCAUGCGCGGAAGCGCGUGCAGAGAGGCUAGUCCUAUUUUAAUGGAAUACAACUACCUAUUAUCAUCAUACUAAAAAAAAAAAAAAAACUACCCAUAUCUUUUUUAAUUCUAAAAUAAAUUUAAAGGUUUGGUUAUGGUUGGCCCAAUUGACCCAUUGAUGCGUGGGUUACUGGCCCAUACUCAAUUAUGGUUGGAAAGGUUUGGUUAGCAUCCUAAUAGGAACGGGAGAUUUUGCCUAUGACUUGCGUGACAAGAGAGGUGCUUUCCUAAGCACUAUAUAAACAGGGACUUCCUUCCUAGCCUAACCUAAUUUUCUGAUUGAGACACCAAAAUUAUCAUGAUGGAAGUGGACGGAGAAAAUCAUGAUGAGGGUUUGGAAAGAAAUUACCAGAGGAGGCCACAAACACGAAGAAGAAGUAGGGUGGAAGCAAUCGAGUGGACGCUGGAGCACCACAAGCAAUUCGUGGACACCAUGAACCGGUUAUAUUUGGGAGAUCUCACAGUUCGUACACCCAGGAGGGCGAUCCUGAUUGUGGAGCUCAUGAACAACGAGGCCUUGAGGCUUAUUCCCCGCUCAACUCUCUUGCACCACAUCGGCCUCUUUCAGCGUUUUCAGAGUAAUCAGAAAGCCAAUGCUCACAGUGUUUUGACGAGAGACUUUGAACGGCUUAACAUUAAUAAGGAGGAGAAGCAGGACUUGUCGUUUUCAUGGACACCGGUGUAUCACGAGGACUUGGUGGAGGCAGUGAUCCAGUUGGGUGGGCUUGGAAAGGCAACCGCAAAGGGCAUUCUGAAGCUGCUAGAGAACCACCGUGGCCUCACCGUCGAGGCAGUGUCGUACCAUCUCUUCAGGUUAAAGGAUUUACAGAAAAUGACUCAAACAUUUCAAGAAAAAAUCCACUGAUCGACUCAAACAUUUCAAGAAAAAAUCUACUCGUUAUCUUAUGAGAGAUAUAAUCUUUGUGUCUCUCGUACAUCUAAUAAAAUAUAGUUACAUGUGAAUAUAUCUCUCUGAGGAUUUAUUGUGAUUGUGUGGCUAGAUUAGUUAAUGAGAUGUAUUUUUUAUUAAUUGAAUAUGAAUAUUUCAGUUAUCUUGAAACUCUUUGUUGUGGUUUGCUCAUUCAGUGUUUUUUUUUUCUUUGUACAGAUGCUCAUUCAAUUUCUAAAUUUACCCUUCAAGAACUGGUCUCUUGGGCAUUUGAAUGUAUGAGUUUUGGUUACCCAAGAUGAUAAAAAACAAAAUAAAAUAUGAUGAAUUUCUGACCUUCUUUUCCAACACUUAAAAAAAGUUUAUUAACCAAAUUGUGGAUUUUAUAUUCCCUUUUUUCAAAAAUGGACAGAGGUAUUCAUGUUCUCCAUUGUAAACUAUGAAUAAGCAUAGGAUGAAUACAUUAGAAAGAGGACCACUACUUAAAUCAAACCAAGGGGAGGAGCAUGUGAUCAUCAUUAAUUAUUUUUUGCCAAGAUCACACUUGAACAAAAUUGCCAUGCUUCUGUUGAGCACCAGAGAUUUUGUAGCUUAAUUUAAACUAAUUUAAUCAGAUCACAUGCAACAAAUGAUUAUGUAUUUAUUUGUUACUGUAGCUGUAUAAUAAUAUAUUGAAUAUUUAAGCCUGGCCUGGAAGCUGCAAAUGGUUUGCAAAUGAAAGCAGAAUACAGUUGGUCAACACUCAACAGGGAAUCUGCUGACUGUACUAGAGAAAACAAACAAACAAACAGAGAAUCCUGUGGAUGGUGCCUUAAAGAAAAGGAAGAUCUAAGUUCUGGAAGAGGGUUUAAUGAUUUCAAGAAAGACACAUCACACUUAACACAUUUAUGAAACUUAGACUUGAAUCUGACAAUAUGUUUAACUGUAUUUUAAUAUUCUUUAUUAGACAGUCACUGGCUAGACCUUGGAAACAGCAUCUUCACUCACUAUCAUCCCUUCAACACAACCCCAAACUGCCUCUUUUUCCUCUUCCACUCAGAAAACUCUCUCUCUCUCUCUCUCUCUCUCUCUCUCAUAUUGUGUUUUUGUUCCUUCCACUGAAUCCCAGCCUUAUUAUUGUUAGUUCUUCCCCAAGUAGAUUGAAGAACAGGUAUGCUCUGCUUUCAUUUAAUUCUCAAGAUGAAGUCUGUGCAUACACAGCAUUUACAUACCAAAAUCAAGGCAAGGUUACAGGCUAUGUCAUCCUAGUGAUAUUAGUAGAAAUAUUUCUCAUUUCUGUAUACAAAAAUGGGUUGUCUAAAUGGGAUUUCCUUGAUUUGCAUUGUUCUUUGUGUUUCAUCAAUCCCAUCAGUUGUAUUUGUAUAUGCUUCGUUUCUUCCUCAAGAUCAAUUCUUCAUUGAUUGUGGGGGAAGCAAGGCAAUGGAGUUUGGGGAUGGCAGGGUUUUUCAGCCUGAUUCUGGGAACCCAUAUGUUACUUUAUCUUCACAAGGCCACACUGCAGUUUCAGAUCAUGAAACCAGUUUGUCAAACCACUCAAAUCUCUAUGCUUCUGCCCAGGUUUUUAGAGAAACUUCAUCUUAUACCGUUAACACUAAGCAGAUUGGUCGUCAUUGGCUUAGAUUGCAUUUUUACCCUUUUGAGAACCCAAAGUUCAAUUUGAAAUCUGCAGUCUUCUCUGUUGUGGCUAAUGGAAUUACACUGCUUCAUGGGUUUUCUUUUUCGGAAGUUGGCAAAACCUCUCAUCUAGUGAAGGAAUAUGUUUUUGAAGUCGAUGGAACAAGUUCUAAGAAACUGGUUCUUACAUUGUCACCUUGGAAUGGUUCAAUUGCAUUCAUCAAUGGGAUAGAGGUUGUUUCUGUGCCUGCUGGGCAAUUCCCAAGUACCAAAGUAAUGCCUGUUCCAUUGGGGCCUGCAGUUGAUGUUCCUAAACAUGUCACUUUCGAGACGGCUUAUAGGAUAAACAUGGGAGGUCAACAUAUAACCCCCAAGAAUGACUCACUGUGGAGGACAUGGGAUCCAGACCAUGCUUUUCUUGUCAAUGCUGCUGCGGCCCGGAACGUUACAGCCAAUCCCAGCAGAAUCAAAUACUCUGAUGGAGUUUCAGUUGAAAUUGCACCAAAUUGGGUUUAUGCCACAGCUCAAGAGAUGGCGGAUGCACAGGUCAGCAAUCAGAAAUUUAACAUUUCAUGGGCAUUUGAAGUUGAGCAUGGCUUCAGCUAUCUUAUCAGAUUGCAUUUUUGUGACAUUGUAAGUGUAGCUCUCAAUCGUUUGGUUUUCAAUGUGUAUAUCAACCAACAAUCUGCUCUAGACUAUUUUGAUAUCUCAAGCAGGACAAUGGCAUUAUCAGCAGCUUACUUCAUAGACUUUGUGACAAAUAUUUCGAUGGGAUCAAAUCGGAUUUUGGUGCAAGUAGGUCCUCCUAUGUUAAGAGACCUCCCAUCCAAUGCAAUCUUGAAUGGUUUGGAGAUUAUGAAAAUGAGCAAUCAUAGAGACAGCCUUCAUGCGAAUCUUCCAGGGAAUCAUAAAAUGGACACAAGAUCACCUGCAGGCAAGAAAAAGUGGAUGCUGCUUGCAAUUUCUUCUUCAGCAGCAGGGUUUGUAGUUUUGGUGCUCAUGUCAGCUGCCUUCUAUUUGUAUUGGCGUAAAAUCCAUCAAAAGAAGCUGAAGCCUCAAUGCUCAGCCUGGAUGUCAUUACCUAGCCAUUUGGGGAUUUCUGAUUCAAAAGUUUCCAUUUGCAGUUAUGAUUCCACAGCACAUUCUCUUAGUUUAGGCCGCAUUCUGGCUUUCUCGGAGGUUCGUGAAGCAACGAAGAACUUUGACAAGAGCUUGGUUUUGGGAGUGGGGGGAUUUGGAAAGGUUUACAGGGGAGUGCUAGAAAAUGGGACUGUGGUUGCAGUGAAGCGCGGAAAUCCAAGGUCACAACAGGGACUUACUGAAUUCAGGACAGAAAUUGACAUGCUAUCAAAGCUCAGGCACAGGCAUUUGGUUUCUCUGAUAGGCUACUGUGAGGAACUCAAUGAGAUGAUCCUUGUUUAUGAGUAUAUGGCCAAGGGUCCUCUGCGAAAUCACUUGUAUGGUUCGAAUCUUUCUCCGCUUUCUUGGAAACAUAGGCUUGAAAUUUGCAUUGGAGCUGCAAAAGGCUUGCAUUACCUUCACACAGGAGCAGCAGAGAGCAUAAUUCACCGCGAUGUUAAAACAACCAACAUACUUCUUGAUGAAAGCCUCACUGCAAAAGUGGCUGAUUUUGGAUUGUCAAAGCUAGGCCCUACAUUGGAUCAAACACAUGUAAGCACUGCAGUGAAGGGUAGCUUUGGUUACCUUGAUCCGGAUUACUAUCGUCGACAGAAGCUCACAGAGAAGUCAGAUGUGUAUUCUUUUGGAGUAGUUCUGUUAGAGGUCUUAUGUGCUAGGCCACCUAUAAACCCUGCCCUCCCUAGAGAACAGGUUAAUAUAGCAGAAUGGGCUAUGAGUUGGCAAAAGAAGGGAAGACUAGAAAAGAUUAUAGACCCCCAUCUUGGAGGACAUGUCAAUCUUGAAUCUCUUAGAAAAUUUGGUGAAACAGCAGAGAAGUGCCUGGCUGAAUAUGGAGUUGAUAGGCCAACAAUGGGAGAUGUUCUGUGGAAUUUGGAGUAUGUUCUUCAACUACAAGAGGCUUCUAUACAAACUGUUUCAUCUGAGAACAGUGCAAAUUACGUCCCAUACACGCCAGAAUGGCUCCCCCAAAUGAGUGAUCAAGAAUCUGAUGCAACAUCAAGUGCUGUGUUUUCUGAGUUGUUGGAUCCAAGAGGAAGAUAAAAUUAUCAAAGAGGGUGAGCAAUGAUCACAUACAUACUCGUACCAAUAUAGUUUUUUUUCCCCCUUCUCACUUAGUUUCAUGAUUUAUAUUAUAUUAUUGUUUGCAGAUCAAAAUGCAAAGGAAAUAUGAAGAUUUGAAUUGAUGGUCUAUUUCCAUACCCUAUUUGAUUGAUUUCCUAUUUUCAGUUUACCUUUUUUUCUUUUUUUAAUUUUUAUGAGUGUGUUGGGCCUGUGUUAUGAUCCAGCAACUUGAAGGCCAACACUAAGCGAAUAUCUUUGUUUAACCAAAUUAAGUUGAAAUGGCCCAGAAAAAUAAAGUUAUAUCCUUUUAGAAAUGAGAGAGAAGUAGAUGUAGGUUAGGUCAUUUGUUUAAAAUAGCGUCGGUUCCUUAACACUCGUGUUUGAUCCUUCUCUCUAUAUUAGAUUAGUUUAGAAUAUCGAACAAGAAAAACGUGAGAGAAAGAGUUUGCAAUAGGAUAAACUUCAAUCAUACAAAUGAUAUGAUGCAAAAUGAUCCACAUGAUAAAACAAAUCCUCCACUUAGCCUUAACAUCCAAGAAUUGGUUGGUCCAAUUAUAACAAAGAAAUUGAUGCACCUCCUUUGUCGGCAUACAGAAUAUUAGUUUGGAACGUUGUAAUUAAUGAGCGAUUUAUUUUUCCGACUUUUUCCCCAAAAAGAAUUUUCUCAUUUUUAGUGGAACUAAUAAUGUUGAUGGGCCCUCUAAUAAUAUAAUAAUAUGAGACUCAACUCAACAUUGUAAAAAUUAACAACAUAAUUAAGAAUCUAAUUAACAUUAUUUUUCUAUACAAACGACACAUCGCCGAUUGAAACAAUUCGGUCGUUGUGGGACCAUGACGACGCAAGUUUUCCUGCAGGGACCCACCGCCGCGCUACGAAAACGACACUCGUUUUGAAUAGUCAAACGUCGGUUCGUCCCACUCCAAAAACUCGCCGGCCAUUUCGCGCUCGCGCGCAUAACCAUUACACAAUCAUCAAGCGGGGCCCGCCACGUCACUUGGACGGCGAUCCUAAAUCUCCUCGGGCUAGUCUUUUGCCGAUUCAGCCGUAAUGAAAUUUCAUCACCACCACAAACGUGGGAGAGCCGUACCUGGACGAACGACGCGUCGCAUUCAUGAGCUGUAAAGCGACCGACAUGUGGCAUCGAGAAAAGCCCACUCCACUCUCGUCGCUCACUGGCCCUACAUAUUUACUACAUCUUUUUUUACCGCUGACCGGCUAGACCCGUUCCAUAGCCGUUGUUUCGGGUAUUUAUAGGGCAAAUCCUGUACUUGUAAAGUAAGCAGUCGACAGUGGAAGCUAAGAGCUACACAGAGAAACAAAAAGGAUUUGAAAGAGGAAUUUGAAGAAAAUGCCAAUCAAUAAAAUUGCAGUUGGGACGCCAGGAGAGGCAAGCCACCCUGAUGCCAUAAGGGCUGCCUUUGCUGAGUUUUUCUCUACGCUCAUCUUUGUUUUUGCUGGGGAAGGCUCUGGCAUGGCUUUCAGUAAGACCCAUCAAUUUCACAAUUUCAAUAUAUUUGUCUACAAAAUUGUUGUUACUCUUGCCAUGAUACACAUUGUUCAUUCAUUUCUUGACGGCUAGAUUGUUCAAGGUUUUCAAUCGUGAUCACUUUUCACAUCAACAUGGAUUGGUUUAUACUUUCUUUAUAUGUGCGAUACGUGAGAGAUAAAUGUUAGCUUGAUAUAUACCUUUUUCAAAGUAUGUGAUUAUCUAACUUUUUUUUUGCUUUCUAUUCCAAUCGGCUAAUCAAGGGAAGUUAAUUAAUUUUGACAGACAAGCUAACUAACAACGGAUCAACCACACCGUCUGGGCUUGUAGCUGCAUCAUUGGCACAUGCUUUUGCACUUUUUGUUGCGGUCUCUGUGGGUGCAAAUAUUUCCGGGGGUCAUGUAAACCCUGCUGUCACAUUUGGCGCAUUCAUUGGUGGCAACAUAACUCUGUUGAGAGGCAUUUUGUAUUGGAUUGCACAGUUGCUUGGAUCAGUUGUUGCUUGCUUGCUACUCAAGUUUGCCACCGGUGGAUGGGUUAGUAAUUAACUUGUUGGUCAACAUGAACGCGAACACGUGAUGCUAGCACAUCUACAUCAAUGACCAGGGUAGCAUUACGUGCUCACACACAAUUGACUGAUGCUAGCAUAACUUCUGUUGUCCAAGAUCAUUUAUUGAUUUUACGUGUCCCUAACUUGACGUUUUGAUUAUUCAUUUAACCCCUGCAGGAAACGGCAGCAUUCUCUCUGUCGUCUGGUGUGUCAGUCUGGAAUGCUCUAGUGUUUGAGAUUGUGAUGACCUUCGGCUUGGUCUACACAGUGUAUGCCACAGCAGUUGAUCCAAAGAAGGGCAAUGUAGGCAUUGUUGCACCUAUCGCAAUUGGUUUGAUUGUUGGUGCCAACAUUUUGGCUGGUGGUGCGUUUGAUGGUGCAUCCAUGAACCCAGCAGUGUCGUUUGGGCCUGCUGUUGUCAGCUGGUCAUGGACUCACCACUGGGUCUAUUGGGCUGGCCCAUUGAUUGGUGCUGCCGUUGCAGCGCUUGUCUAUGACAACAUCUUCAUUGGUGAUGGGGCCCACGAACCCCUACCCAACAAUGAUUUUUAGAAAGUUGUCCUUGCUUGGUUAAAGACGAAGGAUGCAAAUGUUUGUUCAGCUGAAGGGGCUCAUGGGAACUGAAUGAUCAAGUCAUGUUUCAUGUACUUUUGUUGUAGGUUUUACUUUUACUAGUGUUUUGUUUUGGUGAGGAGAGUACGUAGAACUCAGCUAGUAGGUUUGUCUUUUCAAAUCUUUGGAAAUGCAUUGUUUGUUUUAUGAUCUUCUGCUUCAAAUUGAUCUGGUAUCAUCUACUUUUACACUGAGAAAACAAAAACCAUGGGUUGUGGUGGCCGAUUGAUGAAAAGCAUGUUUAAAAGAUGAAAAUAUGUUAAGAACCACAAAUUUCAAAACAUCGAUCUAUGGGAAUUAUAGUAAAUCUUUAGACCCAGGUGAAGAAGUUUAGUAUCUUUUGCUUCUUCCAAAAACACAAGGGAACACUUGUUUUGCAUCCUUUCCAUGGUUUGCUCAAACUCUUUGGCCUCUCCCCAAGCAAUUAUCACUUGAUGCUGCUGUGAUUAGUGGCUCCACUGUAACUAGAUCCCUUCUUACGCAUCCUUUCUCAUUCUCUUGAUUUGUAAAUCCUUCUAACUUCACUACUUUUCAGAUGAGCCAAUAUUUUAUGGCUUUUGACUUCUCCCUUUCUAACUUUGACCCCCCAAAAAAAAAAAGGUAGAGUAGUGCUUGCCAUGCAGUAGCUUUUAGGAUCAUUUUGCACAUCUUUAACAUAUAGUAUAAAACCACAUAAUUGUAUAAGAUCUUUUAUUUUUUAAAGUUUUGGAACUAAGAGAAGGGUUGAAAUUGCAACAAACUUAAUGGUACUUGUAAAUCCCCAACAAUUAGUCUACUCUAUUAUUCGUGUUCGUGUUUCUUGAAAGGAAACAACCAAUAAGACAUUGGAAAUUUGUGCUUGGAGACUAUUGUUUAGGAAGAAGGAAGGCUAAAAGUCACUCUUGGUCAUUGUAGUUUAGCGCUUCAACCACUUUUAACUUUGUAGUUUCAAUUCCGUCAAUUUUGACCAUGUAGUUUUGUAUUUGUAGCAAUUUGAAGACAAACUAGUAUUCCCGUCAAUUUCUUUGACGGUACAAAGAGCAAUUUCGUCAACCAAAAUCCUUGAGAGCGUAAAAGCUUGUAUGAAACUCUCCCCAUUUCAUAUUAUGGCUUGAAAUUGACCAUUUGAGUUUAGGGUUUUUCAAAAAUUAGGAUUAGUGGUUGAAUUUCUAGCCCAAAUAUGAAAUGGGGAGAGUUUCAAAUGACCUUUUAUGCUCAAGAGUUUUGGGUUGACGAAAUUGCCUCUUGCACAGUUAAAGAAAUUGACAAGAAUACUAAUUUGUCCUUAAAUUGCUACAAAUAUGAAACUACAAUGGCAAAAUUGAUAGAAUUAAAACUACGGAGUCAUUGAAGUGCCAAAUUACAGGGAUCAAAAAUGACUUUUGAUGAGGGCAAAAUUGUGUGAUACUUCAGAGGACAAAAUGAUUUCCACAUUCACCAUUGUCUUCGGCUCAAAAUAAAUCACCAUGCAACAGUACUACGUCGUUCAAUCGACUACGCUUGCCUCCGUUUUCCCUACGAACCAAAACCUCAGGCCAAAACCUUAGGCUUCAGCGGCUUUGGCCCCUUGCCUUCUCAUUCUCUUCGGAGAGUUUCUUCAGUAAAAGCCAUCACUUCGUAAGAGUGCAGAGAUGGUUUUGUCAAACAAAAGGCUGAAGCAAAAGCUAAGAGAAACACUAGCUCAAUCCUUAGUAUAAUCAGUAGCUAAAACAGACAAGCAAACUGCCGGGUCAGAAAACCCGGACUCGAAUUCUUUUUAAUAUAUAUAUUAUUGGUAUAGUUUUGAUCUCUUGGACUACAAGGGUCCAAGAGAUUUAUGGUAACUCACCGUUAGAUGUAAAUUUAACGGUUCACUCACUUUUGCACUCUUUAAAUUUUUUUUUUUUUGAACCAUUGGAUUAAUAUCCAACGGUAGGUGACCACAAUCUCUUGGACUCCUGUAGUCCAAGAGAUCGGGACUGAUUAUUGGUAUUCAAUAACAUCCGAAAAUUAUGUGUAUAAUAUCUGAAUUUUGGGUGUACAAUUGAAAAUUUUGUAAAAAUCGAGUAUAUUAAAUAUGAAAAAUACAUACAUACGUGAAAAUGCUAAGUUUUUUAUACGAGUAAGAGCUCUGAAAAAGUAAAAACUCAAAAAGGGACAAUAGAAGCUCGGAUAAUGACCUAAUAGUAAUGGAUAAGGCUGUAAACUAUCCUUAUCGAUAAACAAAAAUCAGAGAAAAAUAAAUUUUUUUUUAUAAAUUUGACGGGGAAAAUGAAGUCGUAUGUAAAGCGUAUCGCUACUCAGUUAUACUAUUUAUUUUUUUAAAAAUGACCACAGUGCGGCUAUACUCUUUUUUAUGAAAAAAAAAAUAUCCCGAGUAUAGCUGCGCGGAUAUAGUAUUUUUUCAUUUAAAAAAAGGGGAAUAUAGCCGUAUGGCUAUACUUUUUUUAUUUUAAAAAACGCUGGGUAUCGCCGCGCGGCUCUACUAUUUAUUUAAAAAAACAAAAGGGCCCUUCUGGCGUCUAGCGCCCGCUUGGCCACUUGUCAAAACCGUAUAGCCGGGCGGCUAUACUAUUUUUAUUAUAAAAUAAAUCCGCGUAUAGCCAUCCGGCUAUACUAUUUAUAAAAAGGCCGCCUUGCGCCUCGCCCAUUUAGCCACGCGUCAAAAAUAGUAUAGCCGCGCGGCUAUACUAUUUUUAAAUAAAAACAGUGGUAUAGCCGGCCGGCUAUACUCUUUUUAUAAAAAAAAAACCCAGAGUAGAGCCGCGCGGCUAUACGAUUUAUUAGGAAAAAAAAAAGAGGGCUCCCGCAUUUUCAGGCUCAAAAUGUCGAGCCCAGGUCCAAGCACCGAAUCCACCAUUGGCUUCGGCCCAAAAUAAAUCUCUGAGCAUGCACCUGUACGACGUCGUUCAAUCGACUACGCUUGCCUCCGUUUUCUCUACGAACCAAAACCUCAGGCCAAAACCUUAGGCUUUGGCGGCUUUGGUCCCUGCCUUCUGAUUCUCUUCAGAGAGUUCUUCAGUAAAAGCCAUCACUUUGCAGAGAUGGUUUUGUCAAACAGAAGGCUGAAGCAAAAGCUAAGAGAAACACUAGCUCAAUCCUUAGUAGAAUCGGUAGCUAAAACCGACCCGCAAACUGAUGGGUCAGAAAACCCAGACCCGAAUUCGGAGCCCCAGUCGCUGAAAGUGCUCCUGGACUCUGUAACCCAGAAACCCAGAUUGUCCAAGCGAGAGAAACGUAGAAAGCUCCUUGCUUUGCGAGGUUCAGAGGCGGUGAGUGGGAGUGGCACUGGUGGCAAUUUUGAGGAAAACAAGGGCGAGGAAGAUAAAGGGGAAGUGGAGUCAGAGGAUUUGGGGGAUGAGAAGAAGGAGGAGAAGAAAAAGAAGAAGAGGAAGAGAGAUGAGGAGGAAAAAAAUGGAGUUUUGAGUUCAGAGGAAAAUGAGGUUGUGAAGGAGGAGGCUAAAAAGCCAAAGAAAAAGAAUAAGAAGAAGAAGAAGAAGAAGAAUAAGAAGAGAAAGAAGGAGGCAACGAAUGAGGAAGAGAAAAAGGAUGGUGAGCUUGGGAGUGAGGAGCAAAGUGUCAAAGAGACAAAUAAUAACAGUGAUAGGUAAUUUUAGACGAUACCCCUUGUGCUCAAAUUGAAUUUGUGCUCUUUUUUUUUUGUCAACUUUGUUUUGAUUAUGAUAUUGUUUAAUUAGAAUUUUUAGUUUAAUUUUUGUUGUUUUGGUAAGUUCAGUUUCUCUGUUCCUAUAUUUUAGCUCAACACUUGAACCCCUAGUGUUUAGAAAGUGUUUAGUAGAAGAUCAGUUGAUUUUGUAUGGGCGGCAAUUUAGAUUGAUCGGAAGAUAUCUGCUUUCUAUGUGAAAAUGUGUUCUAUAGUUUUUGCCUCAUUCUGUAUGUGUUCUGUCAUUUUGUUUAGGCAAACGAAUGGGGAUGUUCCUACAAAAGUUUAUGUUGGAGGCAUUCCUUAUUACUCUACCGAGGACGAUAUUCGAAGUUACUUUGAAAGCUGUGGCACAAUAACUGAAGUUGAUUGUCUGAGGUUUCCUGACAGUGGGAAGUUUAGAGGAAUUGCUAUUAUUAGCUUGAAGGUAAGAAAUUUUGUAAAUUAUAUUCUGCAUUUAAUUUGGGCAAAAUUAGAAAGCUGUGUAUUUAAGUCCUUGCCAAUGUAACUUAGAAUUGAAAUUCUCUUCACAAACCUUACAAGCAAAGUCUUGUGGUGGUGAUGGUGAGCUGCCAAAUUCUUCUGGCUCCUCCACUUUGGAUAUGACUCGUCAACAUGUUUGUGAAAAAAUCUUAAAAGUCAGUUAGUUGUAUUCUUAGUGAUGACACUAAGUAGCUGAUCUGCCUAAAUUCAGUUAAAUAAGUUUUCUAGAAUGGUAUAAGUUGUAUGGCCUAAUCUGUGGUAGAAAUAAUAGCAUCACACAACCUCUGAAUCAAUUUAUGCUAAUCUUUUGUUUUUCGAUUAUUGGAAAAUAUAAGUUCAUGCUGAAUACAAGAUUGUUUAUCGUUUCUCAUCUCAACAUUCUAAUGUUUCUACAGACAGAAGCUGCCGCUAAACGAGCCUUGGCUCUUGAUGGAGCUGAAAUGUGAGUUUGGUUCUCAUUGGUUAUUCAAUGUGUUGUAGAAUUGGCCAAUUCUCACGUGAUUCUAAUGGAACUUAUUGUCUCAGGGGUGAACUAUUUCUGAAAAUCCAGCCUUACAAGGCAACUCGAGCCAAUAAAGUAUCUGAUUUUGCCCCACAAAUUGUGGAGGGGUACAAUAGAAUCUAUGUUGGAAAUUUGUCAUGGGAUAUUACUGAGGAUGAUCUGAAGAAACUUUUUUCAGAUUGCAAGAUAUCGUCUAUACAUUUUGGUAUGGAUAAGGAAACAGGUGAAUUCCGAGGUUAUGCUCACGUGAAUUUCUCUGAUAGUCUCUCGCUGACGCUGGCAUUGAAGUUAGAUCAGAAGGUUGUAUGUGGAAGACCUGUCAAGAUAAGCUGUGCUGUACCUCUGAAAAGAGCAGGGACCCCUUCAAAUUCUGCACCUACAAAUUCAAGUACCCAUUCAAUAUCAGUAGCCCCAACCACAGGUGCCAAUACAAUACCAGUAGCUACAACUACAGAUACAGGAGCUGAUAAUACUGAGUUGAGUAACGUCAGUGGUAAGAUUAAGAGAAGGACAUGCUACCAGUGUGGUGAAAAGGGACAUCUCUCAUCUGCUUGUCCAAUGGCAGCAACUACGUUUUCAAGUACCCAUUCAAUUGCUGUAACUACAACUACAAGUGCUGAUUCGAUACCAGUAGCUACAACUACAGAUACAGGGGCUGAUGAUAUUGGGUUGAGUGCCGUCAGUGGUAAGAUUAAGAGAAGGACAUGCUACCAGUGUGGUGAAAAGGGACAUCUCUCAUCCGCUUGUCCAAUCACAGCAACUACAUUUUCAAGUACCCAUUCAAUAUCCAUAGCUACAACUAUAAGUACUGAUUCGAUACCAGUAGCUACAACUACAAGUACCAAUUUGAUACCAGUAGCUGCAACUACAAAUACCAAUUCGAUACCAGUAGCUACAACUACAGGAGCUGAUAAUGGUGGGUUGAGUGCCAUCGGUGGUAAGAUUAAGAGAAGGACGUGCUACGAGUGUGGUGAAAAGGGUCAUAUUUCUUCAGCUUGUCCAAAGAAGCAAUCUGCUGAUAACAAUGCAAGCAUGUAGGCAGUGUCCUAAGUUUUCCUGUUAACUAUAUGUAGGAAAAACAUAUUAUCCUUCUCAUCAAACUAUAUUUUUUCGAAUAGGCUGAAAAGCGACAGAUUGCGGCUUAGUUUGAGGCAAAGAUUUGUAGAACUGACAUGUUUCUUUCUUGUUGAUAAAGCAAAUUUUGAUUCUUGCUUAAACUAUGCAUGUCAAAAGGAACGAUUAAGUGUUUUCAUGUACUUUUGUUGUAGGUUUUAGGAGUGUUUUGCUUUGGUUUUAUGUUGUAAGAGGACAGUAGAUCUCAGCUAGUUGGUUUGUCUUUCCAAAUCAUUUGAAAUGCCUUGUUUGUUUUGUAUCUUCUGCGUGAAAUCGAUCUGCUAUCAUUUACUUGAAUAGUGGGAAAAUAAAAAUAUGGGGGUGUGGCAGAUUUUAAAAAAAAAAACAUGUUUAAAAGAUGCAAAUAUGUUAAGAACCACAAAUUUCAAAAUAUGUAUGGGUAUUUGGGCUGGUCUAAGAAGCAAAUUAUAGUUAAUCUUUAGACCAAUGUGAGCAAUGUUCUGUACACAGCUCAUUAAUAUCUUGUUCCAAAAACACAAAGGGAACUCUUGUUUUGCAUCCUUUCCAUUCCAUGGUUGCUCAAACUCUUUGGCCUCUCCCCAAGCAAUUCUCAUUUGAUGCUGUUAUGAUUACUGGCUCCACUCCACUGUAACUAAAUCUCUUAUAUGCUCUGCCAAAGAGGUCUCAUUCUCUUGAUUUGCAAAUCCCUCCAACUUAAUUACUUUCAGAUGAGGCAAUAUUGUAUGGCUUUUGACUUCCUAAUGACAGAGCUGUGCUUGCCAUGCAGUAGCUUUUAGGAUCAUUCUGCACAUCGUUAGCAGAGUAUAACUGUGUAAUGAGACUCGACCAAAAUGCCUUUGAUGAACCUCGAGUCGUGCUUCUCUGUCUCUGGGGAAAGCUCCAACUCCAAGUGGAGUUUAUUGUUGGCUGCAAUGGUGACCAAGAGGAGAUAUUCACCACCUUUGCCAAAUUGCAAUUUCAGCCUCCUGGGAUGCCUUAAGGGAUCAACUUUGUCAAUAAUGACAUAGAAAUCCAACAACCACAUCGGCAGCAGCAUCUAUAGAGAGUACGGCCGAACGGCUAUACUCCAAAAUAGAAUAUUUUAAGGGUACAGCCGCGCGGCUAUACACCAAAAUACUUCAUAAAUAUAAAAUUAAAGCUUAUAUCCGCUCGGCUAUACUCCAAAAUAUAAUAUUUAAAGAAAUAGAAUAUUUUAAAAGUAUAGCCGCCCGGCUAUACGCUGUGAAUAUAAUAUCUUCUCUUAAAAGUAUAGCCGAUACGCUGCUGCCUGUUUCACUAAAGUUGUGUUCUUGAAAGCAAACUGGUUUCUAAUGCGGAUUCUGAAGGGAGAAAAGAAACAAUGCGGCAGAUAAUCUCAUUCGGCAACUUACCAAACAAACAUCUGUGUUUUCCUUCAUCAUAUCUCUAUUUGGCUAAUUGCCACAAAUCCCAUUUGGUAUAAGUUUACAUUAGUUGAACUUGAAAGAACCAUAAUAAUAUUAGAUAUAAUGUUUUUGCAUUGGAUUUCAAGAUCUUUAUGCAUGUGUUGUUAGCAUUUGAUGGAUUGAGAAAUUUAUAACCAUGAACUGAAAUGAAAAUCUCAGACCCAAUUUUGAGUCUAUACAAUAAUGCCAAAAAGUUGAAUAUGGCUAAGCUUCUUUUGAGGUUGAGUUGUUGGCUUUGCACAAACUUGUAAGCUCUCUCGUCUUUGAUUUGAAUUCACUUUUUAUAAUACAUCCUCCCCUGAAAAUCAAGGUCAGGGAAAGAUGGCCUUGUACAAAUAAGAUAAGGGAAGAUUGUGUCAACGCAAUUUCUAAAUAAAAUAAAGACUUAUUUAUUGUGGUGCCUUACGAAAUCAAUAUUAUACGAAGAAACAUAAUUAUAACGAAAAUGAUGCCGUUACCUACCUAUGUCGAAUAUGACCUUAUCUCAACCCUAUUUGUCAAAUAUAGGUAGAGUAGCCUGAACAAUAUCUUGUUAGAAAUGAAUAGAUUGUGGAGGUUGAUAUAAACUUUCGGAAUUUGCUUUGAUGUCUAUAAAAUGAAAAAAUUGUUUUCGAAACGUAACAUGGGUACCUAACAAAAAUUGUACAAGUUUUUUUCCAUUUUGGGACAUGAAUGAAGAAUUGUUUUGUUUUCAGUUCUCUCUUCUGCUUUAUUUCCUUUUCUGCCCCUUUCUUUUGGUCGGAAAUUUCCUUUUGUGUUUCUCGGGUACCUAAUAAUUGGUAUCAGAGCCGUUCCGACCAUGGGACAGCAGGGAUACCCACCGGCGACGCUGCCUCACUAUCUUCCACUCGUCUAUUUUCCCGAUCCUACACUCCCACCGCCAUGGACUGGCAUGUUCGACGGUAACCUUGCGGUGGUGUACUAUUGGAACCCCCAAACCAACGUUGCUCAGUAUGAACAUCCAGCCUCUUCCAGUUACCCAACCACCCAUCUCAUCAAUUCUCCAAUCCCCCAAUUUUGGAACUCACAUUUGCCGCUGGACUACACAACCAACUCGCCUCACCGUCUCACAACAUCGACGCCCACCGAUCUUGCUGCACCCUCUAACGUGGGAACCGGCUCCGUUGCACAUCCGCUUCAUACCUCUCUGGAAAUCCCAGACCCAAAUUCAAAGCCCCAAUCGCUGAAAGUGCUUCUGGACUCUGCAACUCAUAAACCCAGAUUGUCCAAGCGAGAGAAACGUAGAAAGUUCCUUGCUUUGCGAGAUUCAGAGGCGGUGAGUGGGAGUGGCAGUGGUGGUAAUUUUGAGGAAAACAAGGACGAGGAAGAUAAGAGGGAAGUUGGGUCAGAGGAUUUGGGGGAUGAGAAGAAGGAGGAGAAGAAAAAGAAGAGGAAGAGGAAGAGAGAUAAGAAGGAAGAAAAUGGAUCUUUGAGUUCAGAGGAAAAUGAGGUUGUGAAGGAGGAGGCUAAGAAGCCAAAGAAAAAGAAUAAGAAGAAGAAGAGAAAGGAGGCAAAGAAUGAGGAAGAGAAGAAGGAUGGUGAGCUUGGGACUGAGGAGCAAAGUGUCAAAGAGACAGAUAACAGCAGUGAUAGGUAAUUUUAGAUAGUAGCCUUUGUGCUCAAUUUGAAUUUGUAUGUGUGUUUUUUUUUUGUCAACUUUGUUUUGAUUAUGAUAUUGUUUAAUUUGUUGUUUUGGUAAGUUCAGUUUCUUUGUUCCUAUAUUUUACCUCAACACUCGAACCGCUAGUGUUUAGUAGAAGAUUGGUUGAUUUUGUAAGGUAUGGGAGGCAAUAUAGAUUGAAUGGAAGGUUUAUGCUUUCCAUGUGAAUAUAUGUUCUGUAUUUUGUGCCUCAUUCUGUUUGUGUUCUGUCAUUUUGUUUAGACAAGCGAAUGGGGAUGUUCCUACAAAAGUUUUUGUGGGAGGCAUUCCUUAUUACUCGACUGAGGACGAUAUUCAAAGUUACUUUGAAAGCUGUGGCACAAUAACUGAAGUUGAUUGUCUGAGGUUUCGUGAGGGUGGGAAGUUUAGAGGAAUUGCUAUUAUUAGCUUUAAGGUAAGAAAUUUUGUAUGUAUUAUUUUCUGCAUUUAAGUAAGGUACAAUUAGAAAGCUGUGUAUUUACGAGUCAUAUCCAAAGUGGAGGACCAGGAUAAUUUAGCAGCUCACCACUACUAGACUGUGGUAGAACUAAUAGCAUCACACAACCUAUGAAUCAAUUUAUGCUAAUCUUUUGUUUUACGAUUAUUAGAAAAUAUAAGUUCAUGCUGAAUACAAGAUUGUUUAUCAUUUCUCAUCUCAAUAUUCUAAUGUUUCUACAGACAGAAGCUGCCGCUAAACAAGCCUUGGAUCUUGAUGGAGCUGAAAUGUGAGUUUGGUUCUUUUUGAUUACUCAAUUUGUUGUAGAAUUGGCCAAUUCUCUCGUGAUUCUAAUGGAACUUCUUUUUGUCUCAGGGGUGAACUAUUUCUGAAAAUCCAGCCUUACAAGGCAACUCGAGCCAAUAAAGUAUCUGAUUUUGCCCCACGAAUUGUGGAGGGGUACAAUAGAAUCUAUGUUGGAAAUUUGUCAUGGGAUAUUACUGAGGAUGAUCUGAAGAAACUUUUCUCAGAUUGCAAAAUAUCAUCUAUGCAUUUUGGUAUGGAUAAGGAAACAGGGGAAUUCCGAGGUUAUGCUCCCGUGAAUUUCUCUGAUAAUCUCUCGCUGAAGCUGGCAUUGAAGUUAGAUCAGAAGGUUGUAUGUGGAAGACCUGUCAAGAUAAGCUGUGCUGUACCUCUGAAAAGAGCAGGGACCCCUUCAAAUUAUGCACCUACAAAUUCAAGUACCCAUUCAAUAUCAGUAGCCCCAACCACAGGUGCCAAUUCGAUACCAGUAGCUACAACUACAGAUACAGGAGCUGAUAAUACUGAGUCGAGUACUGUCAGUGGUAAGAUAAAGAGGAGGACAUGCUACCGGUGUGGUGAAAAGGGACAUCUCUUGUCCGCUUGUCCAAUUUCAGCAACUAUGUUUUCAAGUACCCAUUCAAUAUCCAUAGCUACAACAAGAAGUACUCAUUCGAUACCAGUAGCUACAACUACAAGUACCAAUUCGAUACCAGUAGCUACAACUACAAGGACCAAUUCAAUACCAGUAGCUGCAACUACAAGGACCAAUUCGAUACCAGUAACUACAACAACAAGGACCAAUUCGAUACCAGUAACUACAACAAGUACAGGAGCUGAUAAUGGUGGGUUGAGUGCCGUCAGUGGUAAGAUUAAGAGGAGGACAUGCUACCGGUGUGGUGAAAAGGGACAUCUCUUGUCCGCUUGUCCAAUUUCAGCAACUAUGUUUUCAAGUACCCGUUCAAUAUCCAUAGCUACAACUACAAGUACUGAUUCAAUACCACUAGCUACAACUACAAGUACCAAUUCGAUACCAGUAGCUACAACUAUGAGGACCAAUUCGAUACCAGUAGCUACAACUACAGGUACAGAAGCUGAUAAUGGUGGGUUGAGUGCCAUCAGUGGUAAGAUUAAGAGAAGGAUGUGCUACCGGUGUGGUGAAAAGGGACAUCUCUUAUCCGCUUGUCCAAUUUCAGCAAUGUUUUCAAGUAUCCAUAGCUACAACUACAAGUACUGAUUGAUACCAGUAGCUUUAACGACAAGUACCAAUUCGAUACCAGUAGCUACAACUACAUGUACAGGAGCUGAUAAUGGUGGGUUGAGUGCCAUCAGUGGUAAGAUUAAGAGAAGGAUGUGAUACGCGUCUGGUGAAAAGGGUCAUAUAUCUUCAGUUUUUCCAAAGAAGCAAUCUGCUGAUAACAAUGCAAGCAUGUACAGUGUCCUACGCUUUCCUGUUAACUAUAUGUUGGAAAAACAUAUUAUCCUUCUCAUCAAACUAUUAUUUGUUCGAAUAGGCUGAAAAGCCACAGAUUGCCGCCUAGUUUGAGGCAAAGAUUUAUAGAACUGAGAUGUUUCUUUCUUAUUGAUAAAGAAAAUUUUGAUUCUUGUCUAAACUCUCCAUGUCAAAUGGAACGAUGAAGUGUUGCCAACGUGGGUCUAGUCUAGUAGAAAAGGGUAUUGACUUGUUAGGGUUAUCAGGUUCGAACUUUCGUGACACCUUGAUAGGGUUAGUGUGUAUAUGAGAAACCUCCUCCUCUUAUAGUUUAGACUAAUGAUUGUAUUUAUAAGUUUAUUUUUUAUUUUCUAAAAAGAAACGAUGAAUUGUUUUCUCUAUCGCUUUUGUAAGUUGUGAAAACUGAAUUGGUAUUCUUCUCACUGUUAGAGGAAAGUAUAUAUAGAGCCAAGCUAAGCUAAGCUGUCUUAACACUUCCGAUAUGUUCUUGAAAAGACCAAUGAUUUUUUCAGAGUUAGCAGACUAUGGUUUUCUUUGAAGAUGGGCCUAACUGAACCUGAGCCAACCCAACCAAGUACAUUAGAACAUUUAUAGGCCGAAGUACUUUCAGAUAUACAAAGUCUUGUGGGGCCAUGCCCAUGUAUACUGUACACACAUUUUAACGUAGGACAAAAAUGGCUUCUUAUUUUCUCUAAAUAAGAUCAGAAUUUUUUAUUUUUUAUUUAUAAAUAAGAUCAGAAAAAGUUUAAGAACACUGGUGUGAUGGUUCCAAAACUUAUGAUAUGUCUAAUGAGCUCCCAAACCAUCAUGGAUCCUUAACCAGCAUGAGCUGAGACGAAAGUUCACUCUAUAUUUUCUUUCAAUCUGUAAUUCUUAUUACUUGGGAAAAAAAGAGAAAAAAGAUUGAACCCUCAAUUUUCUCACCCUACCUAGAAUGUAUGUCUAAAUUUUACAUAAAAUGAUUUCAUUUACCCUCUAUUUGAAAGGAGAAAAAUAACUCGGAAUUUAGCCAAACUUAAAAAAUUGAAGAGGAUUUAACUAAAAGUCGGGAGUUUUCUUGAAAAUGAUAUAAUUUGGUUAUAUAUAAAUUUAAUGAAGUAUAUAUUACGGUCUUCAGUUUUUUUUAUUGGAAAAAAAAAAUCAAAUUAGAAGCUGUUAAGAUGAGGUGGAGAAAAGCUUGGAACUAGGUUCAAAAGUAAAAUUGCAAGGAAAAACAAAAAAGACAGAUUUGGGAGCUGGGUCAACCAUCAUCCCUUCAUAAAUUAUUGACAACAAACAUUUCAUUUCCUUCUUUCAAGCACGCCAAUAUUUUUUGGCUGCCAUUGGAUGAAUUUUUCCACUUCAAUUUUAACUUUGAUUCACCAAAUACAUUGCUGGUAAAAUACUUCAAUGUUUGUUUGUUUACAAUAAUAUGUGAGUAUCAUGCAAACUCAUAAUUUUUUCAUUUACGGCACAAAAUAAGUAAAUAAAUAACAAUUGGUAGUGAGUGGAGCUUUGUAGAAGAAACUUUUUUUUAAUCAACGAGGGAUGGGAAUGGCUUAUGAGGUCUAGUUUAGUGUAAAUCCUUAGAUUUAUAGAUUAAUGAUUUUAAGUUUAAACUCUGGUGAAAUAUUGGCAUUGUGUGUAAGAAAAUUCCUUUUCCUUUCCGAUGUUGACAAAAAAAAACCGAGAGAUGGUAGUUUCGAACAUAAACCUCUUGUAAACUUGAGAAGAAAACUAUCAUUAAACUAAAAAAGAAUUAAUAUUUUUUCGGUUGUUGAAAAAGAGAUAUAUAAUAAAUAGACAAACAGAGCGAAAGAAAGAGGUAGGAAGUCCCUCAUGUCCAGAACUUAACAUUCAUUGUCUUGCCCUGAACAAAAAUACCAACCCGCGUCACUUGCAAUCACAACUUGUUUGGCUCCCUCCACACCUCUCAACCUUCUCCUUCACGUAUUUUUCUUCAACUUUUUAACACUGGCAUUGCAUGCUUUGAAAUCCGACAAAAUUUAGCACCUGUAUUUAUAUGUCGCGCAUCACAUAUAUGUAUAUAUAUACAAAGUUACAAACCUUCAUCUUCUAACCCCACCCUUUAAGCCAAACCAUCUUCUUCCACAUAUAUAACAUAUAUGCAUCAUGUUCCUUUUGCUCAACAUCUCUGUUUCUUCCGUUGUCUUCAAAUUGGAGGUUUUUGAUUAAUGGGUUUUCUCCGUCUCCCUCUGAAUUGUAUGAGAUUCUUUAAUUUUCUUGGUUGACACUUGAGCCUUGACUUGCCCGAGUUUGUUUUCUUCAAAGUCUUGAAAUGGGACCCGUUAGAGGGAUGAAGAGGAGGAAGAAGGCAGAGAAGAAGGUUGACCAGAAUGUGUUAGCUGCAGCUGCUUCACUGAGUUCUCAACCCCAGCCCGUCGAUUGGUGGGACGACUUCUCUCAGAGAAUAACUGGUACAAAUAUUCUUCAAGUGCUUUGCGUUUCGCAUUAUCUUUUACUUGGGUUGUUGGUUAAUUUGUUUUAUUGGGUUGACUGUAAAUAUAUGCAUUGGUUUGGCUCUCAGUGGGUAUAUCUGGUUUGUUGUGUAUGAGUAUUUGAUGAUAUAUUAGGACUUGGGUCCAAUGCAGUUUUGAAGAAUUGGAUUGAUUUUAUAAUGCAUGUAUGUUUGUUGUGAUUGUGCAUAAAGGAUUAACUUCAGCAAGUGGAUUUCUGGUAUAUAUUAUUACAAUCUAACAGUUCUUAGCUUCUGUUGAUUUGAUUUAUCGCGCUCUGGUUUCUCCUACCUCAUCGAUAUUGCUCAGACAGAGCACAGCAUGCCUAGUGUGGUGAUAAUUGAAGCCACCAUUUUAGGUUUUCCUUGUAUCAGUGAAAUCUAAUGACAUAGGUUAAUACUCAAUUCUGGUGUUAACUAUAAGAUUGAGUUUUUAUAUUUAUUAUUUCCUUGAAAUAAAAUGAUGCAAAUUAAGAACUUUGUUAGCAGUUUCCUGAUUUAUAAUUCUGAAAACGAUCAAGACUUUCUUUGCUGGUUAUGUUAUUGUUGUUUUGUUGAUUUUUAAUGUCUCUAUUAGCAGGCAAUCCUGUUAGUGUUUAUAAGGGAAAUUUGGUCUAAGUAUGUGCUGAAAUUCCAAAACAGACUACAUCUAGUUCUCAAUUAUUAGAUUGUUAGAUUGUAGUAAUGUAUGAUGAUGUAUGUUUUUCUUGAGAUAAGAUUGCGGUAAACAUUUAUAGUAUAUGCAUUUUCUUCUCUUCAGCCUUUUUGUAUAUUAUCUUGAUACUAUCAAUUCAGGUUCAUCAUCGUGAAUAUGCCCUGUAUUCUUGAUUAGAUUCUGGAAAGCCUGUUUGUAUGCUUGACCACUGCUUACUUAGUUACCCAACAUAUAGUUAUAGGGAUCUCUUGGCAUUGGCUUUCAAUGGCUUUUGCUUAGUGUUGUGCUAUUUCCUAAGAACAAUGUAUGUUUGGAUGAGGGGCCACUAUAAUUGAAAAAGUAGCCGUCCUGGAUUCUUGAUUCUAACCCUUAUUGGGAUUGGACUGGCCAAAAUCAGUUCUGCAAAAAAUUGAAACAAAGUGAGAGAACUGAUUUGGAAAACAUUUGUAGGCAAACAAAGAACAAUCUGGCACAUAUGUUUUGUUUUCGUUGUGUCCUGAGAUGACAAGAUUAGGUUCAGAAGUCUCAUUUGUUAGUUGAAGAGUAUUUAUUCUGAUGAGAUGUUGAUAAAAACUGUGCUCUUUAUCUUCUUGUAUGUUAAGUUAAUCUAUAAAUUUCAAAUUCUGUUGACAAAGAUAUCCUCUAGGUUUGGAUUGUUCUAAUUUCUUUGUUUAAAACAAUACAAAGUGCUGUUCUUUAAUGAAAAAGGUGAACUUAUUGCACUUUUCUGUACUUUUCUUAUGAAAUCAAAAUAUGCAGACUUCUCAAUUGAGUCUUUCCAAUUACAAAUGAGAUAGCUUUCCUACAGAGCAUUUAUCUCUUAUAUGCUGCUCUGUUAAACAUUUUAGGGGGAUCCAUUGUGGGAAGCUCUACCAUUCCUUGGCCUGAUCAGGUGGGAGAGUAGUUCACAGAACUAAAAAGCUGCUUGUUUAGUCCAAAAUGAGAUUAUCAGUAUGCUUAUCUGGAUAGAGUAGGUAGCAUAAUCAUUAAAAAUGAUGAUGGGAAUCUAGCAAACUAAUUUUCUUUGGUAGAAGUAAAAAACAAUCAGUUGUUGUGGUUUGUAAAAAUUUAAGAAGAAAAGGAAACAGUAAGCAAACGAAGACUGAAACAAAGUAGGCAAACGAGAAUAAGUACAGUGGCGUUAUCUGCCUUUUCAUUUGGUGUUCUUUUAGUGUUUACAAAUAUGCUCAUUUUAUCAUGCAUUCAAUGAUUUUGGUUUGUGCAGUCUUAUUGUUAAGAAAGAAAAUUUUCCCAGAAUAAGUUUGAGGUCUCCUGCUAGUUGUACAGCAGAAAGGCAUAAGGUUUUAGCGAUGUGAUUAUACCAAAUACCUAAAGCCCUGAAAGAUUAGCUUUCAAACAUUUGCUUAACGAAGUAAUUAUUAGCAAGGAAUUGAUUUUUUUGUAAUAGUUUAGCAAAUAACUUUUUUCAAAAGUCUUGCUAUGUGAAAUGACUUUUGGUUAUGUUGUUGUGUGAGGAACUUAAAUUUGCACCAUCUUCUUUUUUGACUUUGCUUGUGUUCGAGUCGACUACAAUUUGGACUAUAUCAAAACUCUUAACUCUUGCGAUUAAAUGAAUUAUAUCCUCUUCUACAAAGGUUUCUAAUCUUUUGGUUCUGCUAUGGGAAUUGACAUAGAGGUUCUGAAAACUCACAUUGAUAAAUGAUUAUAUUUUUGUUCUCUACUUUCUAGGCCCUUUAUCUCAAUCAAAAUCAAAAGAUAGAAUGAAAUUUGAAUCUGUCUUCAAAGUUUCGAGAAAGACAUUCAGUUACAUCUGUUCACUUGUAAAGGAAGAUAUGAUGACUAGCAGCUCAAACUUCAGUUAUUCAAAUGGAAAGCAGUUGUCUCUAAAUGACCAAGUUGCUGUUGCUCUUAGGAGGCUUAGCUCUGGUGAGUCCUUAGUGAGCAUCGGUGACUCAUUUGGGAUAAACCGAUCAACCGUUUCUCACAUUACCUGGAGGUUUGUGGAAGCAAUGGAAGAAAGAGGGCUGCACCAUCUUUGUUGGCCUACAAAGCAUGGUGAAAUGGAGGAGAUAAAGUCCAAGUUUGAGAAAAUCCGCGGCCUUCCAAAUUGUUGUGGUGCAAUUGACAUCACACACAUCCUGAUGACCCACCCUACACCGGGCUCACCAGAUGAUGUCUGGCUCGAUUGCGAAGAAAAAUGCAGCAUGAUCUUACAGGCAAUCGUUGACCCGGAUAUGAGGUUCCGUAACAUUAUUACAGGAUGGCCAGGAAGUUUGAGUGAUGAGCUAGUCCUUCGGAGUUCAGGUUUUUUCAAGCUGUGUGAAGAAAGAAGUUGUUUAAACGGGAAGAAGUUGGUGCUUUCAGAAGGAACAGAAGUAAGAGAAUACAUAGUUGGAGAUUCUGGUUUUCCUCUCUUGCAAUGGCUUUUCACUCCUUACAAGGGGAGAGAGCUCUCAAACUAUCAGUGCGAGUUUAACAAGCGGCUCUCUGCGACGCAGAUGGUGGCGCGCAGGGCGUUGGUGAGGCUGAAGGAGAUGUGGAAGAUAAUUCAAGGGGUAAUGUGGACGCCUGAUAAGAACAAGUUGCCAAGGAUUAUUCUGGUUUGCUGUAUUCUGCACAAUAUAGUUAUUGAUUUGGAGGAUGAGGCGCAAGAUGAAAUGCCCUUGUCUCAUCAUCAUGAUUCUGGUUACCGGCAACAAACUUGCGAAUCUGCUGACAAUACUGCCUCUCUCCUGAGAGAGAAGCUUGCUAUUUACUUGUCUGGAGAGAAGAACCUUGCUUCAGUCUUACCUGGUUGAAAUCGGAAAUCUUAUAAUAUUUUGGGGAACUUGCUUUUGUAGAAACUUUAGUUCUAAAUAUAAUUUUGGCGGAAUGAAUCUCUCGCUCAAAUUGUGUUUCUUUUUCACAUGGGUUUUUUUAAAACAUAAUUGAAGGGUUUGCUUUGUUUCUUUUGUCAUGCAAAAAACGAUCGAUGUUAUUGGCAACAGAAAAAAUAUAUAUUUAUAUAUGCAAGCUGGGCAAGAAAUCCACACCAGAAUGAGGUAACCAAUAAUCCACGAAUUACAAAUCACAUUCUCAAAGGCAAUGCAAUACAAUAGUAAACCAAACUCAAGUCCAUAGACUAUAAACAGGUCACAUAAAAACCACAUAGUAUAGAGAUGACCCCCUCCAGUUGCUGAGCUGAUGCUUAACAUUCAAGUCGCCCGGCUUCUAAUAACAUCAAGGCCCAUUUCGGUUGGAUCGGUAGCUUGCAACUCUACCUGAAUACCGUCCAACUCUCUCUUAAACCUGUCCUUCGAACUAGCAUAGAUCAUUUUGCUUCUCACCUUCGAUGUGUCAGGGGACCUUCAUACAUAGAUCUUAGAAUGAGUGCCCCGAUCAAAAGGAAGAUAAAAGAAUAAUUACAAUCAGAGUCAAACUCUAAAAGUCUAAUUAUUACCAAGCAAUGAAAAUAAUCCGGCUCUUCUGGCAGUUCUCCUCAGUCACAUAAUCAAAGUCAUAGACAGCGUAUCGGCAUUCAUCAGCAGGGAGGCUUGCAGAGAAAUCCUCGUAGCUAUCAGCUGGUUCACCCACCUUUUCCACUAUAACCUGCUUUUGCUUCUCCUCUAUCUUGUACACUAUGAAGCGGUAAGUUCGUUUUGCCUUCAAUUCUAAAAACUUUAGCUUGCAUUCAUCAUGCACAGCCAUCCCAGACGCUGCGUUUGCCUGGAGAAAUUUAAUCGAUACCGAAUUGCAUCAAACACCAACAAAGCAUCACUAGAAAUUCCUAUAAUUACACCCAAAAGCUUCUCCAAGCAUAACUGUUACAUAUGCACCCGAAAGUUUGACACCAAUCAAAAUCCCAAACAUCCUAAAACAGAACACACACUGCUUUUCUUCCCCUCGGCUUAUAAACUCUCACUUCAUAGUUCAAACUACAAAUGCUCAUGAGUGUCGUCAAGCAUAUCAUAAUUCAAAACUAUUAACAAAAGUAAAAUGAAUGAUGAAGCACAGGCAUACUGAUAUACUUACCCUUUAAAAAAUUAAGCACCACUACUACCAAGCAAAAGAAAAAGCAAAAAAGAAAUCCAUAUGAAGGAAAAUCCUGAAUAUAGCCAGGAAAUAAAAUCUUAGGCUGAGUAUUUUUAGCCAUUGCAGUAAUCAUACCAUAUGUGAAUCAAUCAAAAUCAAAAUGCACACUGGCACUGCAAUUAAGCAUGAAGACAAUAACGAGAGGCUCAAAAAUUGUAGAAAAUUCAUGAAUCAAUCAUGAUCAAGUAAUUCGAAUCAUACGAUUGAAUAUCACGACUGAAUUGAAAACUAACACGCUAUCUGACGAAACUUAUACUCCACCACAGACGAAUUUCACGAAUUUUUCCCAAUCAAGCAGUCAAAAUUACUAAGAUCGAACACCAAAAUCGCAGAGAUUAUACUAAAGAGAAUCGUUAAGCAAACAAAAAUUUAAAAUAAUAACACUAGCAUGCAAAACCCUAUAGAGAGAAGACUGAAGUAGAGGAAGUACUCACCAUUUUCCCGAGAAAAUGUCGAGGUAGAGAGAAAUGGCGAGAAAAUCUAGGGCUCAGAGAGAGAGAGAGAGAGAGAGAGAGAGAGAUGGAUAGGCCUAACGGUGGGGAGAGGGCAGCGAGUCGCGCCUUGAAAAUAUGGAAGGCCUUCGCGGUCGGUAGCUCCUGCUAAUAUCACCGUGGUCGGUGAUCCAACCAUACGAGGACACGUGUUGUACGUUGUUGAAUAGCGUGCAAUGCGAGGGAUGGCAUGUCCCUUUACGUCUAAUGUGGGUUACUUGGGGGCUGCUACGACUUCGUUUGCCUUCAUGGAUUUGGCCCAAAAUAGUUCCUGGUCCAACAUUCCAUGCAUGUUUUUUUAUUUUUUUUAUUUUAUACAAACGAUAUUGAGAAAUCGGGAAUUAAACUUAAACACAUGACUUUGAUGAAACUAUAUUUAAGCUAAAAGGAGAGUACCUGCAUAAUUUUUUUUUACUUAUUUGGUUAAAUUGUGUUUAUAUUACAAAGGAAAAAGGGUCUCAUUUUAAUUUAUGACCUUGAAUCACUCAAAAAUGUCACGACUGACUUACUUUUUGUUAAAGAACUACUUGUACAUCUUUUCAUCUCGUGUUUGAUCAAAAUAGCCAAUCUUUUUGUUAAAGAAUCACUUGUACAUCUUUUCAUCUUAACAUUCGAGCUUUGUUCUUACUCUCUUUGAUAUCGAAUAAAAGGAGUAUGAAAUGAUGUAAUAUUAGGACUUGCCCAUAAAACCGAAGCUACUCAACACAUCACCUUUUGUUAUAAUUAAGUAACAAAGUGGGGCAAAGGGACCUCUCUUUGGUUCAAGAUUAAUAUUCUCUCAAUUCCCUCUUCAAAUCAACUCUAAGAAGGAAGGGAUUAAAAUUCUAUAGUUCAAAAUAGUUGGGCUGGUGUUUAUAGAUCAGUACAAGUUAUUAGCUAUGACAAUUUUUCUUGAUGUAGCAGCAUGAUCAACACCCUCUUCCAUGGUCACUUUCUGAGUAACAGAUACAGGAACCAAACAAAGGCCUUUGCUUCUGAGGUCGAGCACCUGCCGGCUCCCACAUUCCUGUUCACAAUUCCCAAUAUAAUUUGUAAGGAAAAAAAUUCAGGGUUAGAGGGUAGAAAAACUUGUGUGAAAUGGUAUGACGAGUGAAAAAGUUAUCAUGCGUAGAAUAACGUGAUUAGCCGGGAUAGCAAAACAGUGCUAUCCCCGUUCCACGCACAAAUUUAAGUGAUUGCCUACCUGUGUGUGAAGAACUGCAGCAUUCUUGUAUGAACUACUAAACAUCCUUAGCAGAUUCUGCUAAAAAAAAAAUUAAAAACAAAAACAAAACCCAAGAAACAAAUUAGCACUAAAAUUUAUAUGCAGCAUAAAGAAGUGAAGAUAUUGUUAGGUCUAUAUAAACCUGAAUUUGUUCUUGAAGUAGCAUGAUAUAAAUGGAAGCCUCUUGAAGAACUGAGGCAGUGUCAGUCUGCAAUGAGUUCAGAAGCCUAAUGUAAUUAAUUUGCAGAAAAACAAUAUUUUUUCUAUAAUUAGAAAUCUAGAUAUAAUUUUUUUUUGUAUAUUCUGCAAACUGCUAACCUUGCCAUAGGGGGAAACCAGUUUCUGAAGAACCGUGAUCUUGUCACUGAGCUUUUGGCUUCUUCUCACAGGCGCAUGCAACUUCUGGCAAAAGCAGCAAAAGCUCAACAACAAGGCCAUAAUAACUUAAAUGAAGAGAUAAAUUAAUGUUAAAUUAAUUUUGUUUAACAGACCUUAUUGUUUUGUUGUUGCAUUGAGGUUUCUUGGAACUGUUGAUGCCAUUGUUGUUGAGAAUUUGUCACCUUGCUUCUCUUAUUUUGGUUCCAUUCGUUUAGAGCUGUCUUGUCACCAACCAGACCACCAAGGUCAUCAACCUCAAUUGGACGUUUCCUUGCAUUUUGUAUGGCCUGGAAAUCCUUCAAGGGAACAAAAAGAAAAAAACCAGAAUAAAAUUAGUUCUAGGAUUUGUUAUCACCUCAGUUGUAUUAUUGUAUAAAUGUGUGGUCCAAAUUGAUAAUCGAACAAUAGAAGAUGAAUGAUUGUCUUGUUACCGAAUUUACUUUUCGUAUUUUAACUUAAACAUACAUAAGUAUACAGUUGUCAACUGUUGAUUUGUGUGAAACCUAUCGUGACACCCAUAUCAACAACUAACAAUCAUGUGAAGUAAAUCGCUUGAUAUUUGAAGUGAAUUGGGAAGUCUUGCUAGUUUUUUAUUAAAAUCUUAGCUACCAACUAAAGAAGAUCAACAUACUGCUUCAAAUUGGGGAGCUGAAAUCUUCUUGUCCAGCAAGACUGGCUGCUGGGAAACACCAUCAUGGUAUCUGAAUGCACCAGAUGGAUAAGCUGCAAUCAAAGAAGGUAAUUCAUUAAACCCAGAGUUCUUGCGAGUCAAUUAUUAGAGUUUACUAAAUUACAAAAUGUUUGAUGAGGGUAGGUGGCAAGGACAAGAAAAACUGGGGAAAAAAAAUUUAAAAUUAGGCCAAAUUAGAAAAGUUGUUCCUCAAAACAGAAACAUAUGGAUAGGGAAAUAAACCAAACCUGGUUGAUAAGCAAGGAGGGAUGAUGACUGCAGAGGAAGAGGAAGAGGAAGAGAAAAGUCGUCUCCAGCUCUGCUAUUUUGGUUGUCACUUUCGAAUGCCUUGGACCCCAUGUAAAACCCACUGCCAUAUUUGCCAUGACCAAUUAACUUCAGUUUCUUUUUUUUCUUGAAAGAAAGAAAGAAAGCAGAAGAGAAGGUUGCAUUAUUGUAAGUGGGGUUGGGGGCCUAAUUAACUUAUUUUGUAGAGGCAGCAUUUGGAUAAACUGUGAUUGUACAAUUACUUUAAAUGAUCCCAAUAAUGGUUUUGAUAUACUUUGUUGUGAAGUAUUGAAGAGAAGAUAAAUCAGUAAAUCAAAGCUAAGCUUACCAAGAGAGGUGAAUUCUAAAACAUUUUCUACUGCUGGAGGGACGAUUAUCAGUCCCGAGAUUUUUUUAUUUUUAAUUUUUUAAAGACAUUUUCUAUUAAGAAAUGCGAUAACAUAUUAAAUCACUACACUAGUAUGGAAUAUUGAUGCAUACAAUUACUUUUUCAAACUUAUUUGUACAUUUGAAAGAUAUAGAAACUAUGGAAAAAUAAUCCCUGAUCAUUUUAAAGACUGGUAUAAUUUUUAAAGACUGGUUCAUAUGAUUUCCAUUAAAAAAAAAAUUGGGAUACAAUUUUGAAAGGGAAAAAGACUACUUACAGUCUUCUGUUCAUGUUGACUUGAGCAUCCCAAUUUGACAUCUGAACUUCAAUAUUGUUUCCUGAAGACACAAAACAAUCACUGGAUGGUUACGUAGAACCAUCUUCAUCAUAUACAAGUUUCUGCAGAGCCCAAAUGCCCUUGUGGUCAAAUUAAACAAUAUCAAUCUAUGCUAAUUAAGAUUUGUAAAUUGUAAUGAUCAUUACCAAAGUUGUAAAGAUGGAAGGGUACAGAUGGAAGAAGAGCGUUUCUCAUUGAGCCCAACAAAUCCACUUCUGCAGAGACAGAUAGCCCUUCUGUUGAUGUUUGCACACACAGAUCAGAAAAGCCUUAUCUUGCCAAAGUGAUCCUAUCAACUUCUAAACACAGAAAAUGAAAACACAUAAAAUAAAAUAAAAAACCGAAGUUGUCAAAAAUGUUGUCUAAUUGGAAGCACAAUGCAUGCACACAGAAAAUGUGGCCUUGGAGUUUCGUUAAAAUUCUUAAUCAAACUAAAAAUCCAGCACCAAGCACGAUCGAAAGAACGAAAAUAAAAUCCCAGUAUACCAAGAAAAAGUUACCCAAGGAAGCAUUGAUUCAAAGAAACUAAUUAGCCCCAAAAAAACCAAAAACUUUAAAUAUCAAACUGGAUUAAGAAAUACACAAGUCAGAACUGAAAUGGCAAGAUUUGGAGCCCAAGAUUACUCUGAAAACAUGAUUCAGAACCGACUGAAUUCUCACCUCUGAUCUCAAAAAACUCUAAACUAGGAAGGGUUUGCCAGUGAAAGAGCCAAGACCAAUGAGAUGAGAAUUUGUCCAAAGGUGGAGGUAUAUAUUCUGCAGUGGAGGUGUGAGCUUCGGGCUCCUUUUGAGUGUAGCAACGGUUCUUAUCCUUAAAGAGAAAACGUUGGGAAGACAAGGUUAUAUGUAAUUGGUAAGAAACUGCAUGAUCAUGAAAGGAAUAUGAAACGUCCAGAUGACUCAGAACCUUAAAUUAUAUAAUGCCAUGGGGCGGCUCUCUCACUCUCUCUCUCUCUCUCUCUCUCUCUCCCCCUAGCUACCAAGUUAUCUGUUUGCUUUCGCUAUCACUUAACUUGACUUGCUUUCUAUUAAUAAUAUGCCUCGAAAAUGACUGGUUUUUUUUUUCCAGCAAUUGAUUUGUAUAAAUUUAAUCACGCUGCCAUAGUCAAAGCUUAAUCGUAUAUGUACAAACAAGAUGAUGGAAAGUUAGAUAAAUGAGUACAUGUUGACUCGGUUUCUGUUCUGUUCCAAACUCUGCAUCAUACACAGUUUUAAGUUGAUCCUUUUUUUUUAAAGCUAUAAACUACCAAAGAUUCGAUUAGUUCCGUGUGAUUACACCACCGUACGUAAUGUUACUAAUUCACUUCAUAAUAUUAUGCAACAACAGACUGUCACACCUAAGAGGGAACUGCAAAAUGAGGGAUAUACAGUGAGAAGCUAACAAUUUUGGGUCACUUACUGAAAUGAAAUAUGGGGUUUAAAUUUUGGUCAUUGCUCUGUUUUUGGCAUUUGUGAGAAAUCAAUCCAGAUCAUAUAUGUUUGUUUCCGGAGUCUGUCACGUGAACGAGUCUCAGAAGCCAGUUCUAAUUUGGAUAUAACAGCUAGAGAAAACUGGCUAGUUAUACAACUUUGGAAGUCUCAGCUGGUAAGCGAAGGAGGUCAGAUUUGCUACUUUAGUACUUGGUCUAAUUUAUCUGCUUUAGCUGGUACUUUUGAAAAUGAAAUGUUAUAAGUGUGUACAAACAAAAUACCAUAAAGCCAUCUUAAUUAGUAGAUCAUGAAUAAGCCAAGGCUGAUCAAUAUGAAAAGAGAGAACGUUAAUGUAAAAGGUAUACACCUGUGACAUGUAAGUUUCUCUCGAACGUUAACGUCAAAGGUAUACACCUGUGACAUGUAAGUUUCUCUCGAACGUUAACGUAAAAGGUAUACACUGCAUAACAUAUAUAAAUUUCUCUCAUUGCCCAUAGUAAGAUAAAAAGAACUCAUAAAAACCAAGAAUUAUAUGCAAGUCAAGAAUACAGAUAAACAAACCUCUCCUAAUGUACUUUGUCUUCCAGUGCCUAGGCUCAUCGAAGCUUAAGUUUGACCUCUUCCUACUAUGGGGUUGACCAAUGUUCAUACCCCAUACAAAUGUACCUGUAGAACUGCAAAUUAACAGCAUCAUCAUCUUAUAUAUAUAUAUAUAUAUAUUACUUUUAAUUAAUUUCCUUUGCAACUGCAAGUAGUUCUUGUUUGGUUGGUGAUUCUCGGACCGUCCUUGAUGUUAAUUCUUAAUUAAUCCUAUAUUAAUUAUCAAUAAUUUAGUUCAUAUAAGAUAAUAAAGUAAAUAUUAGCACGACUAAAUAAAGUCCUAUAACUGUUGUUAUCUUGAAAUCUCUACAUGUUAUGUUUUUUUCUGUUUUUAUUCUCCGGAAAAUUAAAUAAUUAUAAAUAAAUAAAAACUAAGUCAGCCUCCUGUCUUUGGUGUGCAAAAUAUUAACAAUCCUCAAAGCGACUACGUGAUGACAUGUGGACAAUUGUUCAGCGUCCAAUGUGAUAAUCAAGUUGGAGUAAUUUGCAUGGUUUGAGUCUGUGACUGCAGAAAACAAACCUUAUUCUUAUGUUGUUAUUUGAGGGAGAGUUUAAAAAUAAAAAAUAAAAACAUUAUGGUUGACCAGGUGGAAAUUCGGGAGGUCAAAGUAGGAGAUUGUCAUUUAGGUCUUGUUUUCAACCUUGAAAAAAUGAGUUGAAAUUCAUUUACAUGAAUGAGUCUUCUUCCCCAUGCAAAUAUAUUAUUAUGAGAUUUUGCAUGGUCUACGGUUUGGGUGUAUAUUUUAAUGAGCUUUGUGAAUCUAUACGGUCUGUAUUUUUAUGAAGUCAAUCCUCUCUCUCUCUCUCUCUCUCUCUCUCUCUCUCAAAUCGAAAUCCAAUUUAUUAUAAGUUAGCCAUAUGAAUGAAUCGUCAUGUUUACGAUAACCAUUUGCAGGCCUUUAUAUAAAAGGAAAUGCUACUUCGCAUGCACAUAUAAUUAGUGUUCUAGAAACAAUUAAUAAUUCUAUGUUAUUUUGAAGUGAAUAAUAACCACAACUUAAUUUGGUUUUGUUGCCGAAGUUUGGAAGGGAGAGUAGGAAAAACUCACACACAGGUAUCAUGAGAGGUUUAAAAAAUAGAGAAUUGUGAAUGAUACAUAAAAAAGUUAUUAUGGACUUGUUAAAAUGCAACUUUUCUCUAACAUUUUCAUACGAGAGGAAUGCAUGAUGACUUUUUAAUGUUAAUAAUUUGUUGAAACAUAUUAUAAAAAGUAAAGUUUUAUAUUUAUUGUGACAUAAUAAAAUGGGACUAUAAACUCAUAACUAUAUCACUUAAUUUAUUCCUCAAUCUCAGACAAAUCAUAGUAGUAAUCUAUUCACCAAUUUCAAUCUCCUUUAAUAACCAAAUACAAAUACAAGUACCCAAUUUGGGCUGCAUAAUUCCCGCCCGAGCUUUAAUGGGGCCGUUGCAUGAAGACAAUGGGCCUGACAGCGAAUUCGAUCCUAAGGAAACGACGACGUGUUGAACCAAAUAAGGGUCCGUAAGGGCAAUUCAGUAAAAGGCGCCCUCAUUCCCACCAAAUAUAUGUGCUCGGUUUCACUAACUCGUUCCUUCUUAAGCCCUAGAAACCCUAGCUCUCGGAGGCGCCUCUGCUGAUAUUGCGCAUCUUUUCUGGUACGUGAAGACUUCACUCUAAAACUUCAUUCUCUUCAUCAAUAAGUGAAACUGUUUCGAUCUGUGUUCCUUUUGAGGCUCUUAUUUGUUCAUGUAUGACCCUUUUCAUUUAUUUUGGAUGAUUUUUUGAGGUGUAGAGUUGAUCCUAACACAUCUAGAUCUAUUGGAUAUUGCUUUGAUCAAUUUGGUUUCAAAUAUGUUUUGAUUAGGCGCCUGUGUAGUUGUGAUUUAUGAUUUGAUGUGUUUCUCUGGAUUGAAAUGCUGAAACUUUUUUUCUGCUCAAGGCCAAUUGUUUGUUUUGUGUUUUAUUUUUGUAGGAAUAGAUGUUCUGGAAUUGGGUUUAACAAAUUAUGAGUCUUAAACAAACCACAAUAGUUGUUUAUUGAAUCUUGAUUAAUAUGUUUGACCCAGCUAGAAAUGGGAAAAGGGAUCAAACUACCAAUAUGGUGGUUGAUUGCGUUUAUUAUAUAAUUAGUUAGACUGUAAGAUUUGACAAGUGAAUCUGUGUAAUUCUGGUCCCAUUGAGUAGGAACACAUUGAAAUGAGGUUUCUAGUUACAUGUUUCUGUUUGUCUCAUUUGUUUUACUUGAUUUUUUUGGGUGCAAAACCCGAUGAUCUUAAUGAAUUCUUUUUAUAACAUGCAGAAGCGACAAUGGUGAGAGUUAGCGUUCUGAACGAUGCGCUCAAGAGCAUGUACAAUGCAGAGAAAAGGGGCAAGCGCCAGGUCAUGAUCAGACCAUCAUCCAAGGUCAUCAUCAAGUUUCUUUUGGUGAUGCAAAAGCAUGGUAUGUAUCUUUUAUUUAAUUCUUAUAUUCGCCACUUAAAUAAUUUCCCAGUUGUUUCUUAGUUGAAAAUUUUCUGAUUAUAUAGACAUUUAUGCUUUUGUUUCUCUCUAUAGGAUACAUUGGUGAGUUCGAGUAUGUUGAUGACCACAGGGCUGGUAAAAUUGUGGUCGAACUGAAUGGACGGCUUAACAAAUGUGGGGUUAUCAGCCCUCGUUUUGAUGUGGGUGUUAAGGAGAUUGAAGGCUGGACUGCAAGAUUGCUUCCAUCUAGACAGGUUAGCCAGUUGUUAUCAGUUAACUAUUUCAAGCCUAGAAACGUGUAUAUUUCUUGAUGGGUUCCUGUUGAGUAAUAACAUUGUAGUUUGGAUUCGUUUAACAUGUAUAUUUUUUCAAUUAAUUUUUAGAAUGUAGAAAGAUGUGCAGGAUUAGGUCAUUAUAUUUGGUUGAUCAUGUUAGUGGUGGUGAUUCAUAUAGCUCUGUAGUUGGUUCCCAUUUGAAUCAAACGUUGAGAUAUCCUGUAAUAUGGUUAAUGUGUUAUAGUAAUCUAGAACCCUUAUAUCGAUUUCUAGUCUGGUUUGGAUGUCUCAUUUGAUUCCCUUAUUAUAUCGAUUUCUAGUCUGGUUUGGAUGUCUCAUUUGAUUCCCUUAUUGCGUUUCAUGGUGUGCAACUGUGUCAUUGUGCACAUAGCUUAUUCUGCUGGGCUUAUGGUUUUUUGCUUGAACUUGCAGUUUGGAUACAUAGUGCUGACAACAUCUGCUGGCAUUAUGGAUCAUGAGGAGGCUAGGAGAAAGAAUGUUGGUGGUAAAGUGCUUGGUUUCUUUUACUAGGCAAGGUUUUUUCCAGGAAUGAGAAUUGAGUUUUCCCGCUAAUGAAGAGCUUUUGGGUGUACUUUUGAACAUCAUAGGUUACUUCUAUGUUUCAAUUUGUGUUUGUUUUGAAUGCUAAUAGAGGUUUUUACUGGAAUGUUAUUUGCUAGAAUUUAUCUUUAAGUGUUUGGUUAUCCAUAGUGCAUCUGGUGGUUGUGGCCUCAGUCUUAAAUUAUCUUAUGAAAUCCAACAUUUUUGCAUCCCGCAGAAUAAUUUUGAAUGGCUAGGUUUUUAUCGCAAUAAUGAAUGAAUAGAAGUUGUUGUGUUGCAGGCGGUGCUUUGUUUUCUGCAUGUCAUGUAGAGACGUUACUUUUCCGGGUUUUAAUGGUAUUUGCUUAUGCAUAUGGUUUUCAAAAAGGAAAUUAGCAUCUCCUUACCGAUCAGUUAUCUGCUAUUUAAAUGCGGUGCAGUAUGACUACAAUUUCUGUUUCCCUUGCUGUCUACUACAUACAUUUCUUGGGUGGGCUUGAGAAUUAUAAGAGCCGACGAAUUUUAUUUUUUUGGCUUCAAAGUCAGAGAAUAAAAAAGAUUUUAUUCAUGUUGUAAUGAUUCGUUCUCGAGGUUGUUGUCAACCUUUCCACAAAGUUUCGUCAUGGUCAAGUUUGGGUAAUCAAAAUUGCUUGUGCAGACUGUAAAACCAUCCAAUUACUGAUACGUCUUCAGUUUAAAUGACAUGGGAAAUGAUUUCUCAUCCAAUCCUGUCCAUAAAUCAAACAAGACCUAAGAUUAGGCGGGCAAUAAUCAGGGACGUUCAAAUUCCAAUCCAUUGUGUUCAAGCAACUAAUUCGUCUGCUAUUUUUGUUUCAAUGAUUCAACAGCGAGUAAUUCGAUCUGUUAUUUAAUGUUUUUUUGGUCUAACAUGGGAUUCUCAGCUUAAAUGGUUAAGAGCUUACAAGGGACUUGGGGGAGCUUAAGCUUAUGCAUGCGACAUGGUUUUGUUUAUUUUUUUUCUUCAUCUUCUUCAAGGUUGGUUUAAGGUUGGCAAUUAGCUUUUUUAGAAAGGAGGGGAAGGGGACAAGAGUGAUAACCAUCAAAUCAUACAACUACUUUUUUUCGUGCUUCAUGUCCUCUUAACAUCAUUAUUUGCAUCGCUUUCAACCUCUACUCAAUUAAUGGUCCGCAUGGAUCUUAGACAUCCCACAAUUAAAGAUUCAUGCUGUGGUUAAUAUAAACACAAAAAAACACACUAUAUAUAAAAAUUAUUACAAAAUUACAUACAAACCCAAGAGAGAGAGAGAGAGAGAAAAAAAAAAAAAAGGAAAGAAGAGAGAGAGAGGAGUUAUGUAACGUUUGAGAAUACAAGAGAGAGAGACUACAUGAACCAGCCGAAGAUCUUUAUUAGGAGGAGAGAAUGCUAAUGAAAUAGCAUUAAGGGAAAGAGAAACACAAAGAGAAACACACACUUGUUGAAAAACUGCCAAAGAUCUGUAGUUGCCCUACCAUCAAAUCAAAGCCAACAUGACUUGUUCAAGUUUCAAUUAGCUAAGCUUUCUUUGUCGUCUGCACUGCAUCAUCAUCGUCGCCUUUGUUGGUAGUAGUAGUAGUAGCAACAAAACCACCAACUUCACCACCGACGGUAUCACCGCCGCUCCCGACUUCCAUCGGUGGCCGGACGACGAAGAAGUAGCAGAGAUGAAUGAGAUGAUGCAGAAGCAACAAGACGAGAGAAUGUGUUGUUGAUAGAUGUUGGAAGAGGUUACAAAGAAAGAGCAAUGUGUUGUGACGUUUUGUAGGUGCAGGGAAGGUGGGUGGAGGAUCUUCUCAGCAUAUGCUCUAAGCAUAACUUCCUUUUGUGUUCCUUUCUAUAGUACCUUUUUCCUCACUGUUCAUUGUUUUCAAUUACUCUUUAUUAUUUUUUAUUUUGGCUACAGUGUUCCUAACUCUUGAUCCAAC